rnacentral:lncRNA from 1 species
CCGAUCUAAAGUAGAACCUGGAGCAAAAUAAAUUUAAAAUAGGACGCAGCGCCGUGACGAGCUCGCCGUCUCAGUCUGACUCAGAGUCGGGCUCGGAAUGUUGCGGAGAACAUAGCCUCCAUUUCAUACACAUCGUCCUGUUUGAUCGCAAUGGUAUGGAGAUCUGGGCAGUGCACACGAGGCCAGCGUCCAGGCAGCCAGACAUGCCUGAUCUUGGCGCAGCGAGCUAGGAGUUCAUCGUUGACUUCAAGGUAGGGGCAUGCGGUGAGGUCAAGGCACUCGAGGUGCGGGCAGCCUUCGAGGAUGGCAUGGACUCCUUUGGUCAGGUUGUCGCAUGCCAGCUGGAGGAGUCGCAGUUCGUGCAGGUUUGCUGCGAUAGCGAAGGCCACCCGAUUGUGCCCUGCCUCCCAGACCAUGGCCAUGUAGUGGUCGUUGUCAUCAUCAGUAUCAUCAUGGAUGAGGAUGCGUUGUUCCAAGCUCAUCUCUCACAUCAUUGCAUCUGAGUUGAACCAAGGCACACGAUUCUUAGGCGUUUCAGCUCUGGGCGCACUGCGCCAAGCUGCUUGUAAAAAUAUGCUGGCUGCUUCUGAUGCGAGCACUCUAUCUCUUCUAGCAUUGGACAUUUAGCUGCAAGCCUAGCAACUUUGUCAUCCUGAAAGCAUCCAGAGGAGAUGAUUUGAAUGCUCUUUAACGAGUUGCCUCUGCAGAGUUAAAGAGUCAGAAUAAACAUGAUAUAUAAAAUAAACUUCAGACAAGAAAUAAAACAGGACUGCAUAACAAGUUUGCAGUAAGCAUAAUUUCUCCUUAAAGCCAAGUAGUUGGAGAGAUCACAUAAUCGCGUGCCAUAAAUAUCAAAUUAGAGGUCAAAGUUUAGGGCCCAAGUGAAAUUCAUGCUUCGCAAAAACUAUUAAGGCGUGACAGUGCUCAAGACUGAUAGGUCAUACAUAGUGAAAAGGAAGUGCAGACAUGCAAGAGCAGAAACUUAGGGCCCAAAGAAAAAUACCUGCUUGCAAUGUAAUCCAGGAGUUCGCUACUGACAAACUUCUCUGCCCAGAAUGACUCCAUACGUCCGUCAGAACGAUCUAUGGCCACCUUCGCCAUUUUGCACAUGACAUUUCCCGCCUUCGAGAAAACCACGUUGUGCCCCGUCAUGUCCUCGAAUCGCCACAACUCAGUCAACUUGGCGGCCUCCAACCAUGAGUGGCACACAAGCCCUGCGCCCAUCAGGAUCUCAAUGGUCCCAAGCUUUGUGAAGAUAGCAGAAAGCGCAUCAACUGUGAGCUCAGACCAAUCCCUAACUUCAGGCACAGGCAGAGGGUUUGGUUCUGCCACCAUUUUGCGAGGAAGUACCUAAAAAUAAGGGUAUCAUAAAAAAGAGAACAAGGAUGACCAACUUUAAUUUGUAUGAUGCCAUGCUAAAUUACAGUUUGCACACAAGAUAGAAGAAUCAAAUUCAAUGUAGUUAGGAGCAGCUUCUCUGUACCAUUGUAAUUUGUAAACCCAACUAUUAGGAUUAAACUUAUGGAUUAUAAAUGGUUUAGACUGAAGAAACUUCAGAUCUCUAAGUCUUUUUAUAUAUGUCCAUUACUCUAAUCAACAUUCCAACUAACAAAACCUCAUAUUUACUAAUAGAUGAAACAUGUAAAACUCUCCGUCCCAAUGCAUAAUGUGUGAAGAGCACCUCCAAGGUCUCCCCUAUCUUAUAGUCAUAUUUGGGGAAUUAAUACAUCCAAAAAAUUGUGUCCAGCAGAUUCCCAAUCCAUUUCCCAUUCCUAGCCAUCCCCCAUAUACUACUCACAGAUCUUGUAUGUUAAUUAGUGAUAAGUGAUGCUGAUAAUUGUUAUGUGGUUAUCACAUGGAAUUUGAUGCUAAUUUUUUUCUCAAGUCUUAACUUAGAUGUAAUUACUCCCUCCUUUUCACAAAGGUUGGAGUAUUUUGUUUCGUAAAACAAGACUUUGAACAAGAAUUACACUAUUAAUAUGUAAUCUAUAUGAUACAAAAUCAUGAUUAUUAGAAAGAACUUUUAAAGACGAAUCUAUUGAUAUAAAUUUCAUGUAUGUAAAAACACAUAUUAAUAGAGUUAUUGACCGGAUUAUAUCUCAUAAAGUGAAGCGGAUUGAAGUACACCCAUAUAUACAAGCUCUUAAACAUUUCUCAGAAAUCAGAGUCUUCCCAAUUUUGGUCGAUUUACCAAAAACAUCCCACAUUCAGUACGCACGCACCCCUCUGUACUUCUGGAGGUAGAGUUUCAGAGGUUGGAUGUAGUCCUGAAACCCCAGCGUGGCCAUCGCCCACAGCAGGUGGUCUCCGGUGAUGGCCUCCUGCUUCUCCUUCCUGCACUUGCCACUCGCCCUGCAUUGCAGAAAGCACAUACACAAGUCAGCCGGCAAAACCGAAAGCUACAAAAGGGAAAAAGAAAAGAAGGCAAAACAGAGUAAAGCGUCCCGUUUUAUUUAUUACUCUCUGGUGACGAAGGCGAUGAACUCGGAGACGAACGCCUGCACGGCCUCCUUGGCAUCCUUGCCGAUCUUGCCGUUGGGAGCGAUGACCUUCCGCAUGAUGCUGCUGAUGUUGGCGAUGGGCAGGAGCUGGCCGUCCUGCUGCUCCCUGCCGCCGCCGCUACCGUCGGCCCCGCCACCGCCCACCGCAUCCUGGGCUCGCCGCCGGCGCGUCCCUCAUGUGUGCUCCGCCGCCCCAACCGAAACACAAGUCGAUUAAUCAGAUCGGCCACCAAACCCUAACCCCCGGAAGGCUCGAGAAUCGCUCGGAGGACGGAGCGAAGAGGGGUUUGCAUAAAGAGGGAGAGAGAGCGAGCGAGCGAGCGAGCGAGAUGUUCCCUCGGCGCGCGACGUGGCAACUGGUGAAAGAAAAACAGAGAAGACGAGGCGGCGAACAUUUUGGUGCAAGAAAAGCUGUUUACCACCCCACGCCCUGCCAAAUUUUGGUGCGCCCACGACUCUUCGGGCUGUGAUUUGGUUAGCUGCGGCUAGAAUAAGAAUAAAAGCUGGUUAUAGGGAUUUAAAUAUCAUAUUUGUGUUUAGUUGGAUGAGUUAGAAAAGGAAGUGGACUGAUAGCUAACAGCCAGCUGCAGCACAAGCUCCUAGGUUAUUUGUGAGAGUGAAAUGUGGAUCCAGAUUUAAUAAAAUACAACAUCUUAUAGCUCACUAUUGUACAUGUUAGUUAUUAGAUGGGCUUAUAGCGAGGUGCUGGCUACUACUAUUGCUCUUGCUCUUAGCGAGGCUCGCCAACGCUACUCACCUGAAAAUUCGUUCACACUAGUUCAAUCAUGUGCCCACGCGCGGGCGAGUCGUUGGAGGCCAAAUCGCUCGUCAAAUCCUGGACGAGCCAAUUGUUGGCGUUGUGCGCUGGGGCUUAAAACAAACAACGGAAAUUCUAAGUGGGGCACGUGCCCCACUUGAUCGAUCUUACUGUGCGGCGUUCCCCUUCUCAUUGUCUUAUCCGCUCUCUCUCUCUCUUUUCUUUUUCUCCUCUUGAUCUUGUCCUCUCACUAGCCUUUCUCCUCUCGAUCUCAUCCCCUGGGUUUUCUCCCGAUGGUAGGACCUCACGGCGGACGCAAGAGGCGGCAUCAUAGUUUUAAAUAGCGGGCUAAGCCAUUUAGCGGCAGCCUGCUCCAGAAGCUAUACGUGCUAUAGCGAUGCUAUAAUGGCGCUAAGACAUUUAGCGGAUUUUUAAAAAAUCAUACAAAAGUAUCAAUAAAUGAGGCAUCAUAUGAUAAAUAAAAAAUCUUCCCCUUGACAUCACUAGGAACUACUUGACACUUAGAAACACCACUUGUAAUGCCAGCAAGGUGGUACCUAACUCUAGUAAUGCCAACAAUGCACAUAUUGGGACAAUAGCACCAUUUAAUAUGAUGUUUUUGCUCAAAUUUAAAAAACUACAAUGAGCUGAGACACUGCUUGAGAUGUGAUGGGAUUUAGGCCACCCCUAUGCCAGAAGCCCAAAAAAUAAUUAUCACAGGGUUAGCUUAGCGCGCUAACGAUCCCAAAAUAUAGCACUAUAGCGUGAUUAGCGGAGCUAAUAGCGUUUUUUCUCAGGUUAGCAUUAAAACUACAUAGCUUUAGCGCGAUCCCUCUCCAAACGCUAUAGCGCCGCUAUAGCGAUGCUAGAGCGCGCUAUUUAAAACUUUGGGCGGCAGUGGCGGCGACGACAAAGCAGAGCGUUGCAGCGGCGACGGCGGAGCAGGGACGGCCACGGAGCAGCUUGCAGCGGCGCACUACGGGAAAACCGGGCGUUGCCGGCGGCAAGGCACUUUGCCGGAGGCUUACAUCGGGCCGCCGGCAAAGAGGCGCUAUGCCGUGGGCCGGCAGAAAAGCCCACGGCAUAGGGUCGGCCGCCAGCAAAUCUUCCGAAAGGCCGGCGGCAAAGGACGGCCGCCGACAAAGAGACCCUGCACAUGGGCCCGCGUGCGAGGUUAACGACGGGCGAAACGGCCGGCGGGGAGGGAAAAAAACUAUCUUUGCCGACGGCCACCAAAAAAAAGCUGCCGGCAAAGUGAUUCGUUUUUCCCACGACAUUCCGUUCAAAUUUGGACGCGCGCGCACGAAUUAAAAAAAAAAAGAAAUAACCCUUUGCCGGCGGCCCCGAGAAAAGGCCGCCGGCAAAGGCCAUUUCUUUUUUAUUUUUUCCCACGUGUCCCCCGUCCGAAUUGAACCGAACAAAAAAAAAGAAAUUAACCCUUUGCCAUUGGCCCCGAUAAACAGCCGCCGGCAAAGGAGAAUUUUCUUUUUUCUUUUUGUCCAAAGUCCCCCGUUUGAAUUGAAACGGACGAAAAAAAAACCCUUUGCCGGUGGCCCCGAUAAAUAGCCGCCGGCAAAGGCUGCUUUGCCGAAGGCCCACAUAAUAGCCGCCGGCAAAGCAUUUUUUUUCCUUUUUUUGUUUGUUUGUGAUGUAAAUCAACCAUAUUGUAAACACAUAGAGAAAUAUAUAUUGUUGUUUAGAUUGAACCCAAUUUACACUUAUAAAAUAAAGAAAACUAAUUACUCUUUGCCGGCGGCAGUGAGUUAAUUGGUUACGAUCGGUUCAUCGACGCAUGAAAUGACGAAACAAAUGGUUUCCCGGCUUUCCCCUUGUGCAUGGUGUGCCAUGUAUAAGUAAAUGAAGGGUGUGUUAAUGGUAAAAUCCAAUCGAUAGCCCUGAUGUGACACUUCCUUUGCAAACAAUACUAGCGAAUGGGCAUGAAUGUUCCACACUUGAGGGGAAAAGUCUCAAUUCAGACCGACGGGACAUAAUUUAGUCGGUCCAUGGGAUAGAUGUUUGCUUUUUCAUGUUAACAUGUCGUAAUACAACAAUAUGAUAUAGUAAAGUGACAUGAAAACCCAAGUUUUGGUGAAAAGCUAGUAAGAAAACACUAAGAAACAUUCAAACCCAAGCCCUAGAGUGAGGAAAACACGCAAUUCAGACCGAGGGAGAAGAAUUCUGUGAGGGCUUGGGGUAGAUUUGUUGUUUUACAUGUGCCCAUGCGGCAAUAGAACACCAAGUAAUAGCAAAACAUCAGGAAAACCAAUGUUUUGGUGAAAAGCUACCCCGUAGAUGCCACGAGGCCCGCAGGAGGGGGCGAUGCCUCAAAUCACACGACGGAUGGUCUCUAGAGAACUUGAAAUCUUGGAUGAUGUCAACAAAUGGGUACAUAGAGAUGGUGUUAAUCUGAGGUUGCACUUCCUUCACAAACUAGACUAACCCGCACGAACGUUCCAGACUUGGGGGGGGGGGGGGGGGGGAGUCGCAAUUCGGACGGACGGAGCAGAAUCCUUUGAGGACUUGGGUAGCUUUUUGGUUUUUCAUGUCCCCAUGUGCUAGUACAACACAAAGGUAUAGAGUAAAGUGACUUGAGAACACAAGUUUUGGUGAAAAGCUAGCCCGGAGACGCCACGAGGCCCGCAGGAGAGGGCAAUGCCUGAAAUCACACGACGAAUGAUCCAGAGAACUUGAAAUCUUGGAUGAUGUCAUCAAAUGGGUUCAUAAAGAUGGUGUUAAGAGGAAAACACAAUCCAAGUAUCUGAGGUUGCACUUCCUUCACAAACUAGACUAACCCGCACGGAAGUUCCGGACUUAAGGGGGAAAAGUCGCAAUCCGGACGGACGGAGCAGAAUUCUUUAAGAAAUUGGGUAGAUUUUUGGUUUUCAUGUUCAAAUGUCCUAAUAGAACAAAAAGGAAGUCUAAAGUGACAGAAAACCCCAGUGUUUAGUGAAUAAUUAAAGUAAAAAACUGGAAAAAAAUUUGGAAAAAGUCUUUGCCGGCGGCUUUUUGUGGGUCCGCCGUCAAAGGUUUCUUUGCCUGCGGCUUUUUGUCGGGCCACCGGCAAAGCGCGCUUAAAAAAAACAAAAACCCUCCCCCCCCUCUCUCUCUCUCUCUCUCUCGCGUUCCCUUCUCUCUCGCGCGCCCGCGCCCGACCGCCGCCUCUGCCGCCCCCGUCCCUUGCCCCCCGGCCGGAUCCGCCCAGAUCCGGCCUCCCCCUCCCUCUCCCUGCCGGCCCAUGCCACCCCGACCCCCCUCUCCCCCGCCGCCCCUGCCUCCUCGGCACCCCGCCCCACCGCGCCGCCUCCCCUCCACUCCUUCGCCACCCCACCCCGCCGCCUACCCUCCUCUCCUCCCGCCACCCCGCCCCACCCCGUCGCCGCCCCCGCCUCCCUCCUUCCUCCCCCACCGCCGGCCUCCCCUCCUCCCCUCUCAGCCCCCUCCGACCACCUUCCGGCCCCCUCUGGUGAGCAUUUUUUUCUUUUUUUUUGCAUAUGAAAUGUACAAUUAUAUGGUAGCUUGUAGUUAGCUUAAUUAUAGUAGCUUAAUUGUUUGCAUAUAGUAGCUUAAUUUAUAUGCUAGCUUGUAGUUAGCUUAAUUAUAGUAGCGUAACUUGUAUGCAUAUACUAGCUUUAUUUAUAUGCAUAUUGUAGCUUAAUUUGUAUGCAUAAUUGUAAUUAAGUUUGUAUAACUGUUACUUAGGGUUUAGGAUUUAGGGUUAGGGUUUAAGGGUUGGGUUAGGGUUUAGGGUUUAGAGGGUUAGGGUUUAGGGUUUGUAUAACUGUUACUUAGGGUUUAACAUUAUAGAAGAUUGUUGCAAUAUCUGUGAUAAACAUUGUUAAAUGAUGGAUGUGGCAAUAUGCUUCGAUAUGUAUGCUUACGGAAGAUAUGAUUCGUACAAAGUUAUUUCUUUUGCAUGUAUGAUUAUUAGUUGCAUGUUGGAUGGAUGUGUGUAUUCAUGAUUCUUAUAUAACUUUAUGGUUCAUGUAGGAGUGACACCAACCUCGCCGCCAUCCAUCUACUUCGACUACUUCGUCUACGGUGAGCAUCUCCCUCUAUCUCGCCUUCCCCUUUUGCUCUGUCCCGGCCAUCGAGCCGAUGACACUUGUAAUUUAAAUGUCAAAGUCGCGUAACCCUGUUCGUCUCCCGUCCGAAAGGGUUACGUAUAUAGAUAUGCAAGUCUUUGCAUAUCUAUAAGGGUAACUCUUUCGGAUUGUCCACGUUUUUUGGAUAGCCCGAGGGUGUGUAGAUUGGGUUCGUUUCUGUGCUCUAGUCCGGUCUGAGACGUGAUUUCGACAGCAUCUCACCUUUGUUCUCCGGAUGCACAUUCUCUUGGUUUGUUGUCGAGACGUGUAUUUGGAGAACAGCGGGGAGGUGCUGCCGAAAUUUCGUUUCGGACCGGACUGGAGCACGGAAACGGCCCAAUCUACACACCUUCGGGUGGGAUUAGGACCUAUCCUUACCUAUUAGUGGAAUAGUUCAGCACAUGCCCUUUUCAAUGAAAAAAUAAAAUAUGUGAUGUAAUUAAUUUGACGAAACUAAUUACUUGUGUUAUUAAACCGUGUAUCCUUUUGGUGUCAUGUGGUAUCCCAAAAUAGCAGAGAAUGGCUGAUCGUCGAUGGAUGUACAAUGGCCGUGGUAGUCGGACAGACCGGGAUGAUGAUUGGAUGAAAAACACGGCAGAUUUUUUGGAGGUUGCAUUUGCUAGAGGAGAAGGGCGUGCUUGGUGCCCUUGCAGUCGUUGCAAUAACAAGACACGACACACAAAGGAUGAGAUGGGCAAUCACUUGCUGCUGUACGGGUACACGCCAAACUAUACCUGAUGGGGCUAACAUGGUGAGCAAGAGGAUAGAGGAAGAGAGGAGGUCGUGCGAAGGCGCACGGACGACUAUGAUACGGGGUUCCAGGACAUGCUGGAUGACUUGGAGGAAGCACACGUUCCAACGGAGGAAGAACCGGAGGCAAUCUCUAAGGCCUAUCUUGAUAUGCUGGCGGAGGCAAGCACAGAUCUACAUGCUCACAGAAAGGUCAAUAAGCUAGAUGCCGUUGCUAGAAUAAUGGCUGUGAAGACCCAAUUCAACUUGAGUAGAGAAUAGUUUGAUGUGAUGAUGGCAGUUAUCGAUAGUCUCCUCCCGGAAGGCCACCUUUUGCCUAAAAGCAUGUACGAGGCGAACAAAAUGCUUAGUGUACUUAAGUUGUCGGCUCAGUGCAUACAUUCAUGUAAAAAUGGAUGAACGGUGUUUGACAGAGAAUACGCGGAUGCCAAGCAUUGUCCGAAGUGCAAUUUCUCUCGGUAUGUCGAGGUAGACCAUGGGAAGGGUCUGGUGCAGUCAAAAAUACCCCAUAAAGUUCUUAGGAUGCUUCCAUUCUCAGAAAGAAUUGGCCGGAUGAUGCUAUCUGACGUGCCUGGCAAAGCUGUGACGCAUCACAAACUGGGGAAGAAAUACAAAUACGACAAGGAUCAUAGGCCGAUGUUGACACAUUCGUCGGAUGGCGAAGCAUGGAAGGAUUUUGAUCGGAAGUAUACGGAGAAAGCCGCGGAGCCUCGGAAUGUUCGAGUUGCCAUCGCAACUGAUGGGUUCAAUCCAUUUGGCAUGACGAGUGCCCCAUACAGCUGCUGGCCAGUGUUUGUUAUUCCGCUCAAUCUCCCUCCCGGAAUGAUAAUGCAACGGAAGUACAUGUUCUUGGCGCUGAUAAUUCCAGGACUAGAAUAUCCAGGGAAGAACAUUAAUGUGUAUAUUCGGCCCCUGAUGGAGGAGUUUAAAAGAGGUUGGGAGGAAAGGAUCAUGGUGUACGACAAAGCUACCAAGACAAACUUUAGGAUGCAUAUCUGGUUCCAGUUCUCCGUUCAUGACCACCCGGGGGGAUCUAUACUCUCCGGUAAAGGCUUGCAGGGGAAGUUCAUGUGCCCACACUGCGGGACUGAUCUGGAGUUCUAUCGGCUCGCUCAUGGUCGCAAGUAUUGUUGCUUCGAUCCGCAUAUGCGAUUCCUCCCGCCUAACCAUCCGUUCAGACAAGACAAGAAGAACUUCAGGAAAGGUGUGGUCGUCGAAGAGGGGCCACCCCGUUAUCGCACCGGUUCUGAGCUUCUUGCUGAGCUGGAUGCUCUUGUGCCUGACCCGACACAACCUGACAAGUUCCUGGGGUAUGGUGAUACACACAACUGGACUCACAAGUCAUGCUUCUGGGAGCUCCCCUACUUCAAAGACAUUCUUCUUCCACAUUGUAUUGAUGUGAUGCACACCGAAAAGAAUGUCGCCGAAGCCUUUUUCAACACAAUUCUCACCAUUAUUGACAAGACGAAAGAUAAUCCGAAGGCUAGAAAAGAUCAAGAAGAACUUUGCGAUAGACCGCAACUAAGCAUUAAAAAGGUGCCAGGCAGGUCAGAUAUCAGGCCAAAGGCCCCGUUUGCUCUCGACAGGGACCAAAAGAUGAAAGUAUUCCUGUGGUUCAAAGAGUUGAAGUUUCCUGAUGGGUAUGCAGCUAAUCUAAAGAGGGGAGUUAAUCUUGGCACCAUGCGAAUCAACAGCCUCAAGAGUCAUGACUCUCACACAUGGCUUGAGCGUUUGCUGCCGGUGAUGCUUCGAGGCUAUGUGUCGGAGGAUAUUUGGCGGGUGUUGGCAGAGUUGAGCAAUUUCUUCCGCCGGCUUUGUGCUAAAGAACUAUCCCCCACCUUGCUAGAAGAAAUGGAAAAACAAGCCCCCAUGUUGCUCUGCAAGCUAGAGAGGAUCUUUCCGCCGGGCAUGUUCGUGACGAUGCAACAUCUAAUUAUCCACCUCCCGUACGAGACUCGGAUGUGGGGCCCUGUGCAGCAUCGUUGGAUGUAUGCCAUCGAGAGACUUAUGAAGACCCUUCGAGCUAAAGUAAAAAACAAAGCUAAAGUUGAAGCAUGCAUAUGGGAGGCAAGCCGUCUCGAGGAAGUGUCAAACGCAACGGCGAGUUACUAUAGCUCCGAUAUUGCCACGCUGCAUAAUCCAGUAUCCCCCUACAAUCUUGGCAACCCUGAAGAUGAGUCCAAGCUGAGCCUAUUCAGAGGGCAACUUGGAACUUCUAAAGCCGAGAAAAUAGUCACCCUGUCCUACCAAGAGUGUCGAUCCCUUACGUUAUAUAUCUUGAACAACCUCGACGAAGUCCAGCCGUACAUCAAGUAAGUGCCCAGUAAGUAAUUCCUCUUUGCAAUUGAUCACAAGUUUGUCUCUAACUCAUCUCGUUCUCAUCGCGUCAGCACAUUCACUCAACUCAACUGGAAGCGAAUAAGAAAACCCGAUCCUCUAGAACAUGAUGCCCUUCUUAGAGAUGGUCCAAAUGGCCCUGGAUCUGGUUUCAUUGAGUGGUUCCAAAAUCAAGUACUUUCUUUCUUAGCUCCUAGUUGUUUCAACACCUAGAGGCCUUGCGUGCGACUAAUACAUGAUGCUUUUCUGCUUAAACCGGUAGGCUAACAACAAUGUGUCUAUGAGCUCCCAAUUGAGACAAAUUGCCAAUGGUUUUGAUGUCAAGGUCGGUUCAUUCAAAUCCUACGACGUCAAUGGAUAUCGAUUCCAUACAACAUGGUAAGAGCUCAGUCGGCCCAAUCGAACCUCAACAAAUUCCGGGGUGUUUGUAGAAUGCGGUGGAGAUGACUUCUACGGAAGGGUUGAGGAGAUAUACGAACUACAAUACCGCGGGCCCAAACCUCCAAAGGUCAUUGUAUUCAAAUGCCGUUGGAUCGAUCCGAAACACGUUAACAAGGAUGACACAAUUGGCCUAGUCGAAGUAAAACGAGACAGUGUCUUCGAAUGCGAGGAUGUAUAUAUUGUAGCUCAACAAGCCACACAAGUUUAUUUCCUCCCGUACCCGUGCACUAAAGUGGCUCGCCUUUAGGUUUUGGAUGUCGUGUAACACGUGCAGCCACAUGGUAAACUACCAGAACCAAACGACCAAGAUUAUCUGCCGCAACGAGAGCCUGGCGACGAGUUUUUCCAAGAAGCCGGCGGGGACACAAGUGAUUUCAUGGUACGGUAUACCGAUUCUCCGGGCACGGAAGUAGACAAUGACGGUGAAGGUGACGAGGUUGAUGGUGAUGGUGACGACGACGAUGAGGAACAGGCUAAUGUUGAUAGUGAUGUUGAGAGUGAUCUUGAUGCGGCUCUUCUAGUUGAUCCCGAUGACGAAGACUACAAUUCACAUGCCCAUACUUAGUUGUUUCAUUUGUUUACAUCAAGUUGUAAUCCGUCCUACUUAAUUAGUUAGUUCGUUGAAUCCCAACUUUACUAUAUUGUACAUCAAGUUGUUGUUUCAUUUAUUUACAUUUAGUUGGUGUUUCUUUUAUUUACAUCAAGAUGUUGUUUCAUUUGUUUACAUCUACUUGUAUAAUCCAUCCUACUUAAUUAGUUAGUUCGUUGAAUCUCAACUUUACUUGUAUUGUACAUCAAGUUGUUUCAUUUGUUUACAUCAAAUUGUUGUUUCAUUUAUUCACAUCUACUUGUAUAAUCCGUACUAACUUGUUCACUUUUCCUCAUGGCAGGUGAUUGAACCAUGGUGGGCGGGCGUAGUACCUCUCAGAGACGUGUCGAAGAGCUAUACCCUCUGCCUAAAGUGAAGGCCAAACCCCCGAAGAAAACCCUUGCACGUAAAGCAAAGGGCAAAGCUAGGAGGGAGCCCUCUCCCUCGCCGCCGCCACUCGAUUGAGGAGAUUUGGGAGAAGGUGAGGGAGAUGGAGAUGGAGGCGGGGGACUUUGGUGAGGACGAGCUGCAGGAUCACUCUGCUGGUACCUCCACGGGAGCCUCGGCGGGGGCUGCCUCCAGCUCUGGUAAAGACAAAGUGUACCAUGAUGAUCCUACUCGUCUCCCCACCAAGCGGCCCUCUUGUGAAGAUGAGAAGCCAGUCAUUCGUCCAAUAGCCAAGAUGUACCUUUCUUGAUCCUAGAAUUUAGUUUACAUCAAAUUGUUGUUUCAUUUAUUAACUGCAAUUGACUUGUCUUAUCCUUGUGUAGGGGCUGGGUGGUUGUUGCACCCGGGUGUUUUACGAUGCAACCCAAGGCUUUUCUUGGGGUCCUCCUCAAGGACCACUUCACUGGCAUGGUUCUUGUUGAAGGAAAGGAGGAGCCAAAGGUAGCCCGGACAUGGGCACACUACGUGGCCCAACCGGACUUUCAAGAUAGAGAGAAUGUGAUGUAUGCGAACAAAGCCGAGCGGGUGAAGGGCGAAUUUUGGGUAAGUCGCCUUCGCACAAUGCAUACAUUAGUCAAAACAAUUGUAAUGCAAAAUAUAUAACUCAUGAAUGGAUCCGUUUUGUCUAAUUGCAGCGGUUCUUCAAGCUGGCGGAAGGCUAUGAUGAUGCAACAAUUGAACGGCACUUCGAGGCAAGUGUGAAGAAGGCAUUGUCCGAGAUGUUCUAUCACGCGCGUGUCUACGCCGUGAGGAAGUACUAUGCCGAAGUGAAGAAACAGAGAUUGGAGAAAGCACAAUGUAUCGUGACGCAUCUCGAGCACGAACAGUACAUGCAGGUAAAGUAAAAGAAAGUGCAUUUCCUUGCUUAAUAAGGGCUAACGCUUAACUUCUUCGUGUCUGGGCUUGUACUUGUUCAUUUAGGUUCCUCUGCACUGGUGCAUCUCGCACUUAAAUGCCUGGAAGGCGCUGGUGGACUCGUGGUGCUGCUCGGAGUACGUGGAGACGCGCGGGCUCCUUAGGGAGAGGAGGUUGGCCAUCCCAAGCGGAAUGCACCAUCAAGGGAGCGUGAACCUGCAGGGCUACACCAACAACUAUGUAUGUGUUUUUCUCCCAAAAAGAUCUUCAUGUGCGAGCCUCACCCCUAACUAUCUUGUUGUUGCUUGUUGUUUCAGGCGAAGGCUCAUCCGGAUAAAGAACGCCUCACCAGUUUCACGGCUGUUGACUGCGCCCUCAGGGGAAAGGCGAGCACCGUGUCGGAGUACAGUGCGAACGCCCCGCCCGAAGCCUACGCCACCCCAGCUGACCAUGCCAAGGUCACAGGCUACGCGGAGGUGUUUGAGGAGGUGCACGGCCCCGGGGCUGAUCCUAGCCGGCACGACCUUGAUGUGGAAGUGGUCGUGAGGGUGGGAAGAGGCAAGAAGCACGGUAGGCUGGUCUUCAGGAACGGAACCAUUGAUUCGAGCACCAUUCCCAGCCUACCUCACCUAAAGGCUACUUCCACGAGCUCGAGUGCUAGUAUACGCAGUCGUCCAGGUGCACGGCAGUUCUCACAGCAGGUUAGUUGUUCUUCAUUCACCAUCUCGUGUCUUUUUGCAUUUCAUUGUAACGACAAUGAACUUGCAAUGGCAUUGCAGGAGAUGGAGGAUAUGGUGGCGGCUCAGGUGCAGGCUCAGAUGGAGGCUCAGAGGCAGGCUCAGGAUGCUCAGAUCCAGGCUCAGGUGGCGGCUCAGGUCUAGGCCGCACCGAGGGCUCAGUACGACCACCUUAGGGUAUGUUUACUGCACAUAAUAGCCAAGAAAGCGUGGUAUUAGUUCCGUAACUGCAACUCUUUGUCUUUUCAAUAUGCAGCCGUACCUCGCCGCCACCUCUCAAGAGCCGCCUACAGCACCACCGCUGUUCGACUUGGCGUUUGUCAAUCUCCAGAUUGAGCAUGCUCCACAGCCUUCUCCACAGACUCUGGUGAGUUCACUCGAAACAUUUCAAUCUCCAUUCAUGACUUUUUUUGCUUUCAUUGAGGGUUGGGCUCAAUGCCUAAUCAUCUGUGCAACAACAUCAAUCCGGCCGUGGCUCGUACGACCCUUCUUCACACGCAAGCCUUGCUGGAGGCAACCCUCUUGGCCAGUCACCUGCUCCUAGACACUGACUUGGGUAUGUUGCCACAAACUUGUCUCAUCUCGAGGUCUGUUGUUUUGAAAACUUACUUUCUUGUCUCCACACGUAGAAACAUAACCUAGCAUCACAUAGUGACAUAGAUCCCAUUUUAGAGCCAAGAGGGCUCACUUGGCUCCAAAAUGGUGCCUUGGUGGCAUUUUUGGGCAUUUGGCUCAUUUAUGCCACCAGGGCACCAAUUUGGAGCCAAAUGAGCCAUAUUGGCUCUAAAAUGGUGCCUUGGUGGCAUUUUUGGGCAUUUAGCUCAUUUAUGCCACAAGAGCACCAUUUUGGAGCCAAUAUGGCUCAUUUGGCUCCAAAAUGGUGCCUUGGUGGCAUUUUGGAGCCAAAUGAGCCAUAUUAGCUCCAAAAUCGUGCCUUGGUGUCAUUUUGGCCAUUUGGCUCCAAAAUGGUGCCCAGGCACCAUUUUGGAGCCAAAUGAGCCAUGUUGGUUCCAGAAUGGAGCCAUGGUGGCAUAAUGGAGCGAAAUGGCUCGUUUUGGAGCCAAAAUGGUGCCUUGGUGGCAUUUUUGUGCCAUUUGGCACAUUUAUGCGACCAAGGCACCAUCUUGGAGCCAAAUGAGCCAUAUUCACUCCAAGAUGGUGCCAUCGUGCCAUUUUAGAGCAUUUAGGGGUCAUUUGGUUUUAAAAUGGUGCCCUGGUGGCAUUUUUGGAGCCAAAUGAGUCAUAUUUGCUCAAAAAUGAUUCCAUGGUUGCAUAAUGUAGCCAAAUGUCUCGUUUUCGAGCCAAGAUGGUGCAUUGGUGGCAUUUUUGGGUCAUUUGGCUCAUUUAUGCGACCAUGGCACCAUCUUGGAGUCAAAUGAGCCAUAAAUGGCUCUUUGGAGCCAUUUAUUGGAGCCAUUUAUGGCUCAUUUGGCGUCAAAAUGGUGCCUUGGUGGCAUUUCUGUCGCCAUUUGGCUCAUUUAUGUGACCAUUGCACCAUUUUUGAGCCAAAUGGCUAAGUUUCGCUUCAAAUGCUACAAUUGUCACUUCAAUGCCUUUAUUUAUAUCUAAUUAUGCUAUUCCAACUCCAUUUCAUAGGUUUCUACUGGUGCAAUGGGUGGUGGAUGUUGAAGGUGCCCGAGUCACCUUCUUGUCAUGUAUGAACACUAGCUUGUAAUAUGUUGCUACCAUGUGAUGAACACUUGUAAUAUUUUUGUUGUGAGAUAUGUGAUGUUUUCGAACUUUCAUCAGAUGUUUAUAUGCUUGUGAUGUGAAUGCGUUAUGUGGGCGUCUAUGAUUUUCUGUGGAUGUAUUGUUGUGAUGUGGAUGAACAUAUAUCUGUAUAUAUGUGCUGUGAAAAUAUUUCACAUUGCUGCGAUAAAAAAAAAUACCCUUUGCCGACGGCCACAGUCUUGGCCGCCGGCAAAGGCGGAGCGCAGGCACGCACCAGAUCGUGCCACGUGCCCGCCCUUUGCCGGCGGCUUUUUCCCUGGCUGCCGGCAAAGGCCCGACAUGUGGGCCCAGCCGUUAACGGCACCGCAUGCCGUGAUCUCUUUUUCUUUGUCGGAGGUCGUCGUUUCGGUGCCGGCAAAGGCUUCGCCGACGGACCCGUGAGAAAGCCGCCGGCAAAGAAUCCUUUGCCGGUGGAUCUCCGUGCCGACGGGCUUUGCCGACGGCCCCGAAAAAAACCCGCCGGCAAAGGCUUUGCCUGAGGCAAAGGUGCCUUUGCUGGCGGCCCCUGGCCCCCCCGCAAAGCCGGUUUCUCCAGUAGUGGCGACGAACAAGCAGGCGCGGCGGCGGAGCAGAUCAGCAGCGGCCACGAAGCAUCUCACAGCGGCCGCGAAGGAGCAGGCGCGGCGGCGGACGAGCAGCAGGUCGCCCACCAGUUCAGUACACCACCAUACGCGGGCGCCCAUGCCCCUGCCCGGCCGACGCCCUCAUUCCUCCUGCUCCUCCUCCACCCUCCGUCUCAGCCUCCCAGCAACCCCCAGUCCCAGUCUCCCUUCGAUGAUGCAUCAUGCAUGUGUUUGUGUGGCUGGGCAGUGUGCUACGGGCUGCUGUUGUGCCGUGCUAACAUGGUAAGGCUGCUGACAUGCUAAUACUAUGCUACUAAGACACUAAGCAUUAAGCAAGUUUCUUGAGGCUUCAUCGAUGUCGGCUAUUGAAAGUAGUUUGAAACCUGAAUGUGUGUUGUGUGACUUCUGAAGUUGGGAUGCACCGAUUGCUUCAAUUUUGUCUCUCUUUACCUGAAUGUGUUAUGUAAUCUAUGUACUGAUAUAUCUUCUAUGUUGUCAAAAAGUUCCCCAAAGAAAAUAGGCCAUGGCAAAAAAGUUAGUUAAUAACUGGAUUAUAGAUCAACUUAUCAGCUACUCACUCCGAUUCUAAAUUGUUGUCGAAAUAUUACAUGUAUCUAGACAUUUUUGAAGAAUAUAUACAUCUAUAUUUGGACAAAUUUGAGUCAAGAAUUUAGGAUCAGAGUGAGUAUUUAUGUUACCGAUUUUCCUUGACAAGUAGGUGUAGUUAACAUGGCAAGUACGUGUAGAUAAUCUGGCAAGUAGGCACAGUUAGACCGGCAAGGAGGUGAAGGUAACCUGACAAGCAGGUGCAGGUAAUCUGGCAAGUAGGUGUAGCUAAUCUGGCAAGUAGACACAGUUAAAUCGGCAAGUAGGUGAAGCUAACCUGGCAAGUAGGUGUAGAUAAUCUGGCAGGUAAGCACACUUAAACCGACAAGUAUAGGUAAUCUGGCAAAGAGGCACAGUUAAACCGGCAAGUAGCUAAAGAUAACCUGGCAAGUACGUGUAGAUAAUCUGACAGGUAAACAACCGGCAAGUGUAGGUAACCUGACAAGUAUGCAUAGUUAAACCGGCAAGUUGGUGGAGGUAACCUGGCAAUUAGGUCUAGUUGACCGGCAAGUAGACACAGUUAAACCGGCAAGUACGUGAAGAUAACAUGGCAAGUAAACAUAUUUAAACCGGCAAGUAGGUGAAGGUAACCCGACAAGUAGGUGUGGAUGAACUGCCAAAUAGGUGUUGAUGAACCGGCAAGUAGGUGAAAGUAACCUGGCAAGUAGGUAUUUUUAAACCGGCAAGUAGGUGAAGGUAAACUGGCAAAUAGGUAGGCACAGUUAAACCGGCACAUAUGUGUAGUUAACUUGGUAAGUAGGUGUAGUUAAUCUGACAAGUAGGCACAGUUAAACCGGCAGGUAUGUGGAGGUAACCUGGAAAGUAGGUAUAGUUGACCGGCAAAUAAACACAGUUAAAUCUGCAAGUAGGCACAAUUAAACCGGCUAAUAUGCGAAGGUAAUCCGGGAAGCAGGUGAAAGUGAUGCUGCUUUCCGGGACUGAUGUCUAUCCAUGAAUUUCCAAUACUAUUAGAUUCGAUCAAAUUUUAUAAUGCGAUGCAAAAUAGAUGCAAUUUAAUGAGAAAAAAGGCUAAAGCAAAUUCGGCCUAAGGCCUAGAAAGAUAGGCAUCACGUGCUGGACUAAAUCGGUUGUGCUGCUUGUGGGCUUGUAGGGAUUGGGCUCCUGGGUUGUGUGGGCUGCGCUGCGAACGGCCAGGGAGCGCGCGUGCUAACGAACAGGCAUCGAGCGAGAAGACCACGCGGGGAUUGUAGGGAUUGGGCUCCUGGGGAGGGUUACGUGGGGCACGCCGCUGGAUAGUACGCUCCAACAACAAUGCAAAUCGAAUUUUCAGCUCUCGGUGGCAAUUCUGUUUCUUAGGGUGGUACAAUGCAAAUCAAAUUUUCAUUUUCAAUACCAUUAAGUAGUAGGAGUAUGAGAAUUUUCUGAAGUGCAUGCAUGCAGCCCAGCUCAGACGGCCCUGAUUAUCUACCAUUCUACCCGUCAGUGAUAGGUGACGUUUGUACGCACCGGCCCAAAGAUUAUUCAUGUUUAAUUGAAAUAAAAUAUGGAGUUGAAUAAUGAAAUAUCACAAAUUUUAAACAUAUAGCUCUCGGUUACUAGCCCCCGUGCAUAUUAUAUGCACGGUUGAUGACUAGUUUGGAUAGAAAAUAAAAAUAGCCAAACGAAUUUGCUUCAGCUUUCAAGGUAGCUCUGUUUCUUGCCUACAAUGCUUUUACUAUGACUGAGAAGCAUCAAUAAUAUUUUGUCCUUUAAAUAGCAACGUCGAAUAUGACAGAUGGUUUGCUUCCAAAUUGAGAAAGCUCGAUCGAUGCACGGCUACAGAAUUCAGAACAAUAUUUGGAGAUAUUGGAGGCGAACAAAAGCAUCCGGUUUCACAAUAUUGUACUCCCUCCAUCUCAACAUUUCAAAAUAAGUGACGCGGAUUUACAUAAGAAUUUAUACAAAUACACAUACUUAUUUUGAGACGGAGGAAGUAGAUAUAUAUGAACACAUGUUCUGUGGGAGAGAAAACGCGACUCUGUCUUUGCUUGAUCAGCCACGAACUAGAUCCUUGGAGGUGUCACAGAGUAACUAGAGUACGUAGAUCCUUUCGUGCAUUUCGUUAGUGUUAAUUACUCCCUCUGAUUCUAAAUUAUUGUCGAAAUAUUACAUGUAUCUAGACGUUUUUUAAGAAUAGAUACAUCCAUAUUUAGGCAAAUUUAAGUCAAGAAUUUAGAAUCAGAGGGAGUAGCUGUGUAGGUGGCUGCUAUGCAGAGAGCAUUGACUUCAUAACGUACUGUACGAUAACAGAUAAGUCUACAUUACCUCUGAAUUCAGGGGUGGUUCAGAUUAACCUAUGAAUUCGAAAACUGUUUUGAAUAUCCCCUCAACUCUUAAUUAAUACCGUUUAGAUUACCCUCUUCCCCAUCUCUGGCUGGUUUGACCGGUUUUGAUUGUCACGUAGCUCGCUGGUGCAUGGCAACUUGGCAUCUCGCCACAGCUCGCUGAAUCUCCAGCCAAAACUUUAUUGGUUUCACAUACCAUUAGAAUCAACAAUAAUGCUAACAUAGUAAUUCAAUCAGUUCAAGUCCCAUGCUCAGGAAACCGAGAGUUAAGUGCAUGCACGCAUGCUACUGCCAGUAGCAGCUAGCGUCUCUGCUUGCAUCUCUCCUCGCCGAUCGAACCGAGAGUAGUUGGGGGUUGUUUGUUGUGGUUCUCGGAUUCUUCCGUUUCUUCUUAAUGAUGAAAGCGACGAUUCUAAAGAAAGAGAGUAUUGCAAGAGUUUCCAUAUCGACCGGCUUCAUCUCUAUAAAUUCAAGAAUCUCACAUGCACCUCUCUUCAAUUCAUGUCCACUACUUCUGCACGCCCAGUAACAAUGGCAUUCUUAUUCUUGCCAGGGCAACUCAUCUCCACGCUUGCGCUACUACUCCUAGUUCUAGCUUUGUACAUCAUCAAGUGUAGUCGACCAAAGGAUCCAUUACAGCCGACGAACUGGCCAAUAAUCGGCGGUCUCCCUUUCAUCGUCCACAACCUCCACGGAUUGCACGACCAUGUGACCGACGUCCUAGCUUCCUCAGGGUACAGUUUCAAGGUGACCAUAGCCAGCAUGGGGACCUUGGUAACCUGUGACCCAGCCAAUGUGCGGCACAUCUUCACCUCAAACCAUGCAAACUACCCCAAGGGCGAGGGCUUCGCCGACAUCUUCGACGUGGUGAAUGGCUCUCUGUUCACCGUCGACGGCGAAUCCUGCCUCCGGCAACGUGCAACGUCCAACCGUGCUUUGAGCAGCCCGGGGUUUGUUGCCUUCACGACAAACUACUGCUGCGACAAGGUGGGGAAAGGCCUCCUACCCUUCUUGACCCGUGUGGCGAGAACCGGGAAUCCGCUUGACAUUAAUGAUCUCAUGGGGAGGCUUGUUUUCGACUUGUACGCCACGUCCGUCUUCGGCGUGGACCCUGGUCUCCUAUCCCUCGAUAUGCCUUCGGUGCACCUUGCGGCCAUGGACACGGUCAUGGAGGUGGGCUUCUUCCGGACAAUUGUUCCGGCAUUUUGCUGGAAAUCGAUGAGGCGCCUAAACAUCGGUCCCGAGAGGAAGCUCGCCUCGGCGCAAGCGGUGCUUCGUAACUUCGCCAUGGAAAUGAUUGAAAGGAGGAAGACCAGCGGUGCCCAUAUUGCUCCCCAAGAACAAGCGACGGCUUCAUCUGUGGACAUCCUGUCAAACUUUAUCCAUGACCUCGACUACAAUAAUGAUGAUCUGCUCCAGGCAACACUCAUCUUACAUAUGAUUGCCGGUAGGGACACCAUCGGCACAACCUUGCCAUGGAUCUUCUACAACCUUGCCAAGAACCCACAUGUUGUGUCAAAGAUACGCAAUGAAUUGGCGCCCAUCGUGUCACGCAAACAAACCACUAUUGCUAACGACCCUAUGACGUUUGAGCCAGAGGAGGUCAAAGCCCUAGUCUAUCUGCAAGCAAGCUUGUUGGAGACACUAAGGUUGUACCCUCCCAUCCCUUUCGAGCGAAAGGAGGUGGCCGCCAGCGAUGUGAUGCCAAGUGGCCAUGAGGUGUGUGCCAGGGACAUCAUCAUCGUUUCCCUCUACUCCAUGGGUAGAAUGGAGGAUGUGUGGGGGGCUGACUGCCGAGAAUAUAAGCCAGAGAGGUGGUUCUUAAAGGAUGGAGCCAUGCUUAGACAUGUUCCCUCUCACAAGUUCUUGGCGUUCAACUCGGGGCCAAGGCUGUGCCUCGGUAAGAACAUUGCUAUCACACAGAUGAAGACCAUUGUCGCUUCGGUCGUGUGGAGUUUUGACAUGGAGGUGUUAGGUGCUCAGGUGAUCGUCGAGCCAAAGCUAUCGUGUCUUCUGCAAAUGAAAAAUGGGCUCAAGGUGAAAGUGAAGAAGCGAGAAAUCUAAUAUCUAGGGAUCUAUGUUGGGCGUCCCAAAGAAUAAUGCAAGCGGUAUAUGUGCGCUUGUGGUGUUUCUCAUGUAUCUCACAAAUAUCUUGGGGUAAUUGUAAUACUGCAUUCGCACAAUAAAAAUUUCAUUUGUAUAUCUCGUUAAAAAGUAUUCAUAGAUAAAACAGAAGUUUGACAACUUGCCAUGGGUAUUUCAAAAGUACAAACUGCGCCAGAAAUGAAAUCGAUCCCGUUAAUAUCUCUAGAGGAACUCGGUCGAUCUUCAACACUAACCGAGAACAACCCUUGGGCAGCUAGUCCAACAACGGUGUUUGACACAUCAACACCUAGCUUCAACGUUUGGACGGAUCAAUUAAUCGUCAGGGGAGAGGAGACUUGAAGAAGAAACUGAGGUGGGGAAGACAUAUGGUUGGCAUGGACCCGAUCUGUCAUAAUUUGGGGAAAACCGGAGGAAAACACUAGACGGGGCAAUUUAUGUCAUAAAUUUGAUUAAACUGGGUAAGCUUAUAGAACUUCUGUUAAACGGGGUAUACUGUGUCACAAAAGUGAAAUUAGGAUGUAGAAAAUGGAAUUCUCUUUUAAAAUAAAUAUUUGCUAUGGUUAGCACCAGCCACAUCUCAAGGUAUCAAUCAUACAUAAAAACUCAAGUUAUCAGAAAGUCGCUUUUAACUUCAGGGGUGUAAGUGCAAAAAAAACUCAACUAACAGGUGGGCAAAGUUUUAACUUAGAAACGUGGGGGCCGUCUUCUUCUUCCUCCUCCGGCCGCUGUCUCGUCUCGCGCCCCUCGCUGCCUCCUCGCGGAACAAAAUCCUAUUCACUCCGUUUCAUAAUUCUUGUCGAAAUAUUACAUGCAUCUAAAUGCUUUUUAGGAAUAGAUACAUCCAUUACAUCCAUUUUUAGUCAAAUUUAAGACAAGAACUAUUAUAGAACAGAGGCAGUACGCGUUAAGAGGCCUUCCAUCUUCACCUAAAAAGAUUGCCAAGUCUCUUGUCCCGUGCACAUAUGUCAGUGUGGACUGCACCGCGCACUAGUUCUGCCAAGUACGACGUGCGCUCCAACGCCUUCCGCCGGCUCUCCGUCUUCACCGUCGACACGUGGUGCUCGUCCGGCACCGUGGCGCGCGAUGGCACCGUCGUCCGGCCAGACCGGCGGCUGGAACGGCGGCUACCGCAAUGCGCGGACCAUGCGCGCCUGCGUCGACGACACCUGCGACUGGAACGAGACGCAGGACGCGCUCGCCGUGAACCGAUGGUACGCCACCAACCAGAUCCUCCCAGACGGCCGCGCCUUCAUUGUCGGCGACCGGAGGCACUUCAGGUACGAGUUCUUGCCAGAGCAAACUCAUCUACACGCAUGUGCUUCUUCUAGUUCUAGCUUACAGCAGAUCAAAGAAUCCAGUGCUGCCAACGGGCUGGCCAAUAAUCGGUACUAUUGGACAUGUCAGGAUCAGGACGUACUCGAAACAGCGGGAACACGUACGUGCUCCUAGAUGUUAGGCAUGUGCGAAGUAAAUUUCAUGACAAUGUGGUUAUGUCUAAGGUCAACAAGGGCCGUUAGACUUAGACCAUGAGAGAAGCUCAUGUUUAAGGGAAGGGUUUUUUAUUUCUGUGUCCCUCGUCCCUUAGCUGUACUCAGAAAUACACAGGUUUCAUAAUUGUGCUCGCUUCUAGACUUGUUCGCUUUCUGCUUCCUCGCAAAUGCCCUAACGGAGCAACUGCUAACGGUCAAGCCCCUUUGACCGUUUGCUUCCGACGGGUGGGCCGCCGGUAGUGCUGACAGGUGGGGCCGGAGCCACGUUUCUGGCGUGUGGGGCUGCAAGGAGACCGUGCAAGCGGGCAGGACUUAACGGGUCUGGUUACCUUACAUGCGGGCCACGUCCGUGCGUCCUGAUAGGUGGGGCGGUCAUCGUUAAUUAAUGACAGGUGGGCUGAGGAAAGGGGGACCGCUGGGGCCGAGCCAGAGGAUGACAGGUGGGCCGAGCCAAAGGAUGACAGGUAGGACAAGACUUCAGAUGACAGGCGGGGCUAGUGUCAUCUUUUCUUACAUGUGGAGCCUACUUGCUCUCCUUUACUCUCAUCCAAAUCCCGACCAGAACCCUAAAUUGGCGGAGGAUGGCGGCGGCGCUGAGGCUAGUAGGUGUGUAGAAAUGAACGGGAGGCGGCGAUGGCGAGCACUAACCCACCUCCGUACCACAACGUCGGUAGCUGCCGCCGAUUUGAGGAGGAGAUAUUUUGCCGCGGGGAGUCUGAUAUCUGGCCCGAUGUGGCCGAGAUAGUGAUUUCCCGCACCUCAAGAAUGGAAGAGAAGGCGGCGAGGCUGCGAGGUAAAGCCGUCAUUCCUACCAUCCAUACAGGAUCAACGCUCAAUCUGCCGGCCACUUCGGGUGAAGAGGUCAUGGCAGCUCUGAACUAGCGCCGCAACUUCAAAAGGGGAGUGCGCAUCAUGGUAUGUCUUGCGCCCGGCAAGUUUUUGAUUCGCUUUGAUUCGAGUGAUGAUUGCACGGCAGCGGUGAUGCAAUCGAUGCGCAUCAGGUGCCCUGCCAGCGACAUCUCGUUUCGCCCCUGGACCUCCAUCUUCCGUGGAGAGGAAUCAAAACUGCCUUUUAGCUGUGUUCUUAGCUUGGAUGGACUGAUGGAGGAUGCGCAAGAGCUGGAAUUUGUGAAGAAUUUGAUUAAUCAGCUAGGAGAUGAGUUCGUGGCAAUUCUGCGUAGGACUGAUCCACGCUGCGUGAAGCUCAGGCAUGAAUGCGUGAUCCUUGUGCCAUCCCGAAGCGGUUGCUGAUGAGAGUGCCUACUUCGGCCACACAACCAGCUCCUGAAUGUGCUGAUGAGCUCAUUGAUGACUCAAUUGCAGCGGGGACAGAACCAGAAACCAGACGUGCUGUGUCGUUCGGGGUCAUCGUCCACGUCCAUGAAGUGGUCGAUAGGUUUCAUCUUCUUACUGAUGGUUCAGACCACAACAACAGGGACUACUCUGAUUCUUUUUCAAAUGAUGAAGCUUAUCUGGACUAUGGUGGUUCUGGGAAUACCGCGAGGAGAUCUCACUCGCCUCCAUGAGUUCCCCUGUUUUGCUGGCGCUGUAGAUGGCUCAGGUCCUCCAAAAGGAGGGGUUAAUCCAUGUUGAUGUUGUCUUCUGUUUAAUCCAUGUUGAUUUUGAUGUAUGUUGUCUAUGUAUUAGUUUGUUGUUCGAAGACUACCUAUUUGUACUGAUCAAGAGCAGGUUGUUGCUGUUUAUCUGAACCUGGGCAUGUAUAGUUAUCAGCACUUAUCAUUUCCUAUGAAUGUCUUUCGCAAUUUAACUUCCUCCAAAUUGAUUUCUGACUGCACAAAUGAAUAGCAAAUGGAAAGUUAUGCAAAAUUACAAAAUUUCAAUAUGUUUUCAGAAGGUUGACUUUUGUUGACCAAGGAAUUUAUAGUGACAUUUGGCUGUCACAGCCCACCCAAAUGGACAAUUUUGGAGAAAACUUAGAAAGUGAACUUGUUCCAAAUUGAUUUUAGAUUGCACAAAUGGAAUCCGAAUGGAAAUUUAUGCAAGAUGACCAAAUUUCAACUUGUUUCGUGAAGGUUGACUUUAGUUGACCAGGGAAAAAAUAGCCACAUUUGGUUGUCCCAGCACACCAAAAUGGCUGCAGUUGGAAGAACCCUCAAGAUUCGACCUUCUCCAAAUUAUUUUUUGAUUGCACCAAUAGAAAGUACAUCAAAGUUAUGAACACUACUGAAAUUUCAAACCCAUUUGAGAAAGUUGACUUCGCGUUGACCAGGAUUAAUUUAAAUCCACUCAAAUCCAUUCAAAUCUGCAAAACUAAAGAGUUUUUUUGAACUUUUCUUCGAGGAGUCAAGUACUAACAAUGUUUGUAUACUUCCAAUAGUUGUUCCACAACUUCAAAUCAUGUAUGUCGUAUCAUUUUGGCCCAAACACAACAAAUUUAACUGGAUUUGAAAUUCAAAAAAUAUGAAAAAACGUCCAAAUUGAAAAUGCUUUUGCAUACAUGCAAUACAUAUCCAAAUGUUAUUAGUGUGCCAAAUUUUACAAGAUUUGGACAAAGUUUUAAAUUCAAAUGUCAAAAUGAGUUCAUUUCUCCAACAUCCCCCUAUGUGGUGCAAUGUACAUGAAGUACAUUGUGAAAUUUAGAUAAUGCUCUGAUAUUUUUUAUGUGAUGAAGUAUCACUAAAAAUUGACAAUUGCAUAAAAUCAUAAUUUUCGGACAACUUUUUCAUGUUAUUAACAUUUUUAUACUUUUGAGUUAAGUGUAAAUCACAGUAAUGAAGUUAUAGAACAUUUAAUUUUCAUUUCUGAAAUGGUUUGCUAAUUUUUGAAUAUCAAAUUAACUAAAAUUUGCUUGUUUUCACAUUUUUGAUGUCAAACGUGUGCAAUACUAAUCCUAGAAGAUUUAGACAGCUUUGUGAGUGUAUCACAAGUGUUUCCACCAAAUAUGAGAUUUUUUGGACUUGGGAUACUAUAUCUUCGUACAUUCUUUGAAUUUUUGAGUUUAUUUUAAAAAAAUACAUAAACCCAUCGAACUCAACGGAAUGAUGAGAAAAUCGAUGAUGAAAAGUUAUGUCUGCACCAUACAAGUCGAGCAAAAUUGGAUUCCAUCCGGUUCAGUCCAAUUUCAAACCUAUUUGUGCAUGAAAACAUGAAUUUCAGCAAACCAAAAUGGCCGUAGGUGGAAGAACCCCCAAGAUUCGACCAUCUCCAAAUUAUUUUCUGAUUGCACCAAUAGAAAGUACAUCAAAAGUUAAAAACACAGUUAAAAUUUCAAACCCAUUUGAGAAAGUUGACUUCGCGUUGAGCAGGAUUUAAAUCCAUUCAAAUCUGCAAAAGUAAAGAGUUUUUUUGAACUUUUCUUUGAGGAGUCAAGUACUAACAAUGUUUGCGUACUUCCAAUAGCUAUUCCACAACUUCAAAUCAUGUAUGUCGUAUCAUUUUGGCACAAACACAACAAAUUUAAAUGAAUUUGAAAUUCAAAAAAAUAUGAAAACACGUCCAAAUUGAAAAUGCUUUUGCAUACAUGCAAUACAUACCAAAUGUGCUUAGUGUGCCAAAUUUUACAAGAUUUGGACAAAGUUUUAAAUCCAAAUGUCAGAAUGAGUUCAUUUCUCCAACAUCUCCGUGAGGUGUUUCAGAAACACCUUAGGGAGAUGUGGUGCAAUGUACAUGAAGUAAAUUCUGAAAUUUAGAUAAUGUUCUGAUUUUUUUACGUGAUGAAUGUAUCACUAAAUAUUGACACUUGCAGGAAAUCGUAAUUUUCGGACAAAUAUUUCAUAUUAUUAACAUUAUUAUACUAUUGAGUUAACUGCAAAUCAUAGUAAUCAAGGUAUAAAACAUUUAAUUUUUAUUGAAACCUAUGUGUUUGCGUUCUAAUAGGUUACAAUGGGUCCAAUGGACCUUUCUUAAAUUAAUUUCUUGUCGUAAAUGUAUUGAAAAAAGUGAUUUUUCAUUUAAUGCCGAAAUGUGCUGAAAAUCCAAAAUAUGUACGAAAUAUAGUAAAAUUGCUCUAGAAAUUCUGAAAUUCUUUGAGAAGAACAAGUAACAUGUAAGGUUAUCAAACAAAAUUCUUAUAUGUUCUAAACCUUUAUUUACAAACGCUUUGGACCCAACACUUGAAAAUUGGAUGAAACUCUAUCAGUGGCGGGAAAAGCCCGCCACAGAUGUAAGCCUGCCACCCGACACUGAUAAUUAUGGCCGGUUCGGACAUGGAUCCCCUGACGUACGUUACCCUGCAGUUUGGUCACUGGCAGGUGAGCCUCAUGCCUGACAACCCCACAUGUCAGUGACUCUAUGUCACGGGACGCUACGUCAGAGGAUCUCCUUCCGGUUCUAGGCCUAUCUGACAAGCUACUGCUCAUUUUUUUUCAAACUCUUUACAGUGACUUGUAAUCAAACUCACUUUUUUUAGUGUUUGUUGCAUUAUUAUUUUCAGUGUUUGUUGCAUUAUUAUUUUUAGUAUUUUUGCAUUAUCAACGAUUCUUGCGGGUCAUAUAGAAAUUCGAAUGGAUCUUGAAAAUACACACACACACACACAUAUUAUAGUUCAUCUCUCCAGCAUCACAUAUAGAAAUAUAUAAAAAAGGAAAAAUACAUAUGGAAUUUUAUUCCACGCUCCUGGCCGGUGAUGUUCUCCAAGGCCUUGGUACAUGUCUCCAGUAUACCGAUCAACGAUCGGAGCACUUCCACAGAGACUUGUACCGUCGGCGGCGGCGGCGGAGGCGGCAAGGGUGGCGGUGGCGUUGGCAACAAAGGUGGCGGCGACGCACGGCGUGACGGUGGGGCCAUAGGAGCUGCUGGAGGCGCCGUCGGUGGAGGAGGUGGUGGCGGUGGUGCAGGUUGCGGGGCCGGUUGACGUACCACCGGCGGAGGAGUAGGCUGGGCCGACGAUGGAGACACGGCCUUCUUUGUACGGCCGCCUCGCUUGACGCCAAACAUUGGCAGAGACGGAGGUGGUGUCGGAGUUCGACGCCGUGGUGGAGACCGGCGGCGUCCACGACCACGGCGGCCACUGCAGCGCCGCCUACUAUGGACUUCAUCUUCGUCCGAUGAAGUCAAGAAUGCCGUCCGUCGGUACGGACUCUCUCCGUCGAGCUCCCUAUUCUCCGCUUGAAUGGAGGAGCACGGGAAGGAGUCCCCAGACCACCGCGCCAUGUCGAAGGAUCUUUGGUAUCAGGGAAGAAGGCUAGAUGGAAAGGUCGAAUGAUGACACGGAAUAUAUAGGCACAUAGCUCUUUCGAGAGACUUCUGCACACCUCCGCAAGUCAAGCUCCCUAUUAAUUAUGGAAUAUUUAAGGCCAGAGGGCGUGCGGGAACACAUCAGUUUCCCAUGCAAGUCCCUGCAACUGCCCACGCACGCCGGUUUCCCAUGCAAGGCCGCCACGCACCCCUCCGCAAGUCAAACCGCUCUGGCGUAGAGUCCCCGAGCAUUCAUGCAAACCGCUUUCAAAGCCCACCAACAAACACUCAUCACCGGAAACCACUCCCCUUCCCCUUACCAUCGCUAUUUAACCCGGCGCCAUGGAACUACUUCUUUCUAUUCUUCUCCUUCUUCUACACAUCUUCACCUCUCUCUACUUCUUCUGUGCGGUUAACCGACGGGCAAUGCCAUUCCAAGGCCACACCUUCAACCCGCCGCCCUCACGGAGGAGCGGUUGUACCCACCGGGCGUGCUUGUGGAGUGUACGCUCCAAGUGGGGGCGAUGUCGCGCAGCAGGAGCCCGAUGGCGCUGGUCAGGGACUUCCUCCACACCGGUUUCUUACACCGGGAGGCCGUAGGCCCUCCAAUGUACCGCGUGGAGCACCAACACGGCACCGCCUAGUGCCGUGUAUGGCGUCGACACGGCCAUCCUAGUGCACCUCACCAACAGCCACGACGCUGAGUACCUCCUUGGCCGCGUGUACUGGUGUGGAUGCGAGUUUAUCGCAUUCACGAUGUACACCGUGUACACCAACACGGCAAACACGUUCCCCCACGCCGGCCAGAUGCACGGCCUCCCGUACGUCGUGCCGGAGGUGGCGCCUGUGGAUGGGCCUGCCGAGUCGGGCGUGGCAGCGCGGGAGGAAGCCGGCGCCCAGGAGUGAUCGGCCGCGUCGUUUUAUAUGAAUGCCGUUAAUUAUAAAGUUUUAUAUGAAUGCGUUAAUUGUUAGAAUUUGCACUUCAUGUUUUAUGACGAUGAACCGCUUUAUUGAACUGCGUGUGAUGUGAUUGCUUCCAUAAUUGUGAUUGUAAAGUUUAUUUCUGUGUAAAACAAACAAGUGUAGCCUCGGGUAGAAUUUGCUUUCUUCGAUUAGGCUAUGUAGACGCCGCUUCCCUUCGCAAGUCUCGCCGGCGAGCCCACGGAGGCGUAUCUGGCGGGCCCGUUGCCAGGGCGAGCACGGAGGCGUAUUUGGCGGGGGCGGGGCGUAUUUGGGAAAGGGAUGAGAGAGAUAGGCGACGGACCCACCUGUCACUUUUUUUCGUCGCCCCACAUGUAAGUUAAUUCGACCGACCCCACCUGUCAGGACAUGGCCCGCAUGUAAGGUAACCAGACCCGUUAAGACCUGUCUGCUUGCACUGUCUCCUCGCAGCCCCACACGCCAGAAACGCAGCUCUGGGCCCACCUGUCAGCACUCCCCACGGCCCACCCGUCAGAACCAAACGAUCACAGGGGCUUGAUCGUUAGCAGGUGCUCCGUGAGGGCAUUUGCGAGGAAUCGCGAAACGAACAAGUGUAGCAGCGAGCACUGUUUCUGGCCUCGGGUAUAACUGAGUACAGCUAUGGAAAGAGGGGCGCAGAAAUAAAAAACCCUUAAGGGAAAUAGGGCAAAGAACAAUUUGUACAAGGGUUUUUUACUUCUGUGCCCUUGAUUCCUUAGUUCUAUUCAGUUUUGCCCAAGCCUUAGAACACUGCUCGCUUCUACCCUCCUCCUUUGCGCAAAUGCUCGCUUUUACCAUCACGGAGCACCUCCUCAUGGUCAACUCGGUCAAGGCGUUAGCUACUGACGGGUGGGACCGGGCAUAAGCCUGACGGGUGGGACCAAUGCACGCUGCUGACUAUGGGCCAGGCCAGGCUUCGGCGAGCUUGACUCCGGCCACCGCGACGACGUCCGAUGCGGCGUGGGGAUCGGCGCGAGCACGAGGACAAGGACCGGGACAGGGAAGGGGACGCAAGGACCGCCGCUAGGAUGCUGUCGGUCGGCACGACGGACGCUAGGAUGCGCCGCGGACACAGCACAACACAACCAUCGAAGAAAGAACCUAGUUCAUAUAUUCCAACAAGGGCUUACAUUAACGACAUUAAUUUUGAAAAAAAAUGCCGAUCGAUCGCUCACUCCUCGGCUUCGUCUUCAGAUUCCUCCAUAGGCGGCGCAGGCCCCUCGACAACCACCUCCAAAGGCGUCUCCGCCUCCUUCAUGUAGUGUUGGUGUACACGUUGUACAACGUGAAUGCGAUGAACUCGCAUCCACACCAAUACACACGGCCAAGGAGGUAAUCGGCGUCAUGGCUGUUGGUGAGGUGCACCAGGAGGGCGGUUUUGACGCCGUGCUCGCGGAGCCUCUCCAGGCGGUACAUUGGAGGGCCACGGACAAGGAGCUAGUAGACGGUACCGAGAGCUCGGCCGGCGGCGGCCAUGGGUGUGAGCGGGCCACCACUCCGCCAUUUUCCAGCCGCCGACAUGCGUCGGUGGAAUUGUCCCAUGCAUUGAGCAUGGACGCCGCCGCUCGCUGCCGCCAAAGCGUGCCCGCAUCGAUGUGGACGUCCCGUGCUCGUCCUGCGGACGACUCCCCCUCAACGACGACGACGACGACGAUGAUGACGACGUUCGACGAUGACGAGGAUGAGGAGGAGGCCGAGUGCGAGAUCAAUCGGCGCCAUGCCGAGCUCCUGCACACGUACCAGCAACAUGUGCGGGAAGCCGACCGGCAGCACAUGGCUGUCGCGAAGGUGGCUUCCGUAGCGGAAGAUUUCUCCAACGAGUGCGGCCGGGAGGCGGCGGAGGCGAGGGAGCGGUACGAGUUUGAGCUCGCGACGCUAAACUCGGAGAGGAGCAACCUUCUCGAGGAGCGGGGGAGGAAGAACGUCCGGGAAAUCCGGGCGGAGCGCGAUGCCAUCUUGGCCACGACGACGGCGACGGCAACGACACUGCAUAAUGUUAUCCGUUAUUUAUCUCUAGCUGCAUAAUGUUGCUACGUAUCUUUAUUUUUAUUCCUAUUUUGUAAUCGACCUUGCGUACCCAUCGAUCUAUAUAUAUAUAUGGAAUGUUAUCCGUUUUUCUAUUAUAUAUAUGGGUAUGGUAACGGCAUAAGGUUGUAGUAUUUUGAAUGAAACACGUUGGUAAAGUAAGGCCGGUCACAAAUUGAUUUUGGUCUGAAUUUUUUUUUUCAAUUGGCAGAAUAGGCAAAAACAGUAGUUUAGGUGCAAAAAGGAUUCAAAUGCGUUUGGACCUGGUGCAUUCCAAGUUUUUUGGAAUUGCAUGGCAAAACCAUGACUUUCUUAUAUUGGUCCCACAUCGAUUUGUGCGAAUUUUCAUUGAAUUUUGAAUUAUGAGCCGAAAAGGCUGGAAAUUCAAAGAAUGCACGAACUAUCGUUCCUAAACGCCAGAAAAUCUGAAAUUUGGAGAGAACAUCAAGGAUGAACACUAAAUGCUAUGAAAAUCUUCUUUGAUGAAAAUCGCGAAUCUUAGUGGUGAUUGAGGUAAAGUUCCCUAGAUUUGUUUGAAUUUCAAAUUCAAAAAAAUAGGUAAACAAUUCAGAUUUGAACAAGCUUUGAGAUAAUGACAUUAAUAGGCAUAUGUGACUACUGUGCAAAGUUUGAGUUCAUUUGGAGAAAGUUUGUGAUUCAAUUCCAAAAUUUACAUCAAAUUUGUAACAUCUCCUUUAGAGAUUUAAAACAUCCCAGAGAGAUGUGUUACUUUGAACAUCAUGCAUGUGUUCACAAAUUGAUUUUGGUCUGAAUUUUUUUUUGGUGACGGGUAUUGACAAAUAAAGAGCCCACGCAGGUUUUCAGAUUUUUCCGGAUAAAAUUUCCUAUUAUUAUAUAUUUUUUCCAAUUGACAGAAUAGGCAAAAAAGUAGUUUAUGUGCAAACAGGAUUCAAAUGCGUUUGGACCCGGUGCAUUCGAAGUUUUUUGGAAUACCAUGGCACAACCAUGACUUUGUUAUAUAGGUUCCACAUCGAUCUGUGCGAAGUUUCAUUGAAUUUUGAAUUAUGAGCUGAAAAGGCUGGAAAUUCAAAGAAUGCACGAAAUAUCGUUCCUGAACUCCAGAAAAUCUAAAAUUUGGAGAGAACAUUAAGGAUGAACACUAAACGCUAUGAAAAUCUUCUGGGACAGAACUUGUGAAUCUAAGCGAUGAUUGAGGUAACCGUUCCCCCAUAUUUGUUUGAAUUUGAAAUUCAAAAAAUAGGCAAACAAUUCAGAUUUGAACAAGCUUUGAGAAAAUGACAUUAAUAGGCAUAUGUGACUAGUGUGCAAAGUUUGAGUUCAUUUGGAGAAAGUUUUGUGAUUUAAUUCCAAAAUUUAUAUUAAAUUGGCCAAAUAGUGGGUCUGGUCAGCAAAAGUCAACUUUCUCAAAACAAUUUGAAAUUUCGUCAUCUUUAAUAACUUUCCGUUCAGAUUGCAUCUGUGCUAUCAGAGAUCAAUUUGGAGGAAGUCUGAUUUCCAAGCUUCCUACAAAAUUGUCCAUUCCAGUGGGCUCAAAGGGCAAAAAGUGGCUCUUUUUCUUCCCCCCGGUGAACAAAAGCAGCUCAUCUUCCUGGCCGCUCUUUCUGCCGUCCAUCGCGGCACCGUCGCUUCUCAACUCGGUCGCUAAACCUUGCCGCCAUGACCUUGUAGACAUGCCGAAGCUAUAUCCGCAAGUCGCGCAUCCUCUCGUGCUCUAUUCUGGCCGGAACGCGAACGGCCAGAGCACGCUCGCGCGCCGCUGCUUUGCGCCAUCAUGGCCAGCGUCCUCCACGAGCCUCGCCACCUUGCCCAAGAGACCUGCAUCGGCCAAGGAGACCAGAGGUGCCUCCAAUCGCUGCGUCACCAUCUUCUUCCUCAUCUCCUACCGGUUGCUGCCGCCGAACAGAUCUCCUUCUCUGGCGACCUCCGGACUCGACCGCCGCCUCCCUCAGAUCCACCUGAUCACUCUGAACCUUCUGGUGAUUCUCAUCAAGCCUCGCGUGAUCUGAGUCAUCCCCGUGUCGCUGCUCCUCUCUGCCUGCCACCUGCCGGCGUCGAGGUUCUCGCGCCGUGCUCCUCCACCCCUUCCAAUGCCUCCGUCAGAUUUGUGAUGACUUACUCAUUCUUUUGCCCCUCUUUCCUGCCUCUCCCGUGCUCUGUAUCGCCCCGCCUCCUAGCGGAGCCCUCCGCCACCGCAGACCGCACGAGCCCGCGGCCAGCAAGAUUUCAGCAAUGAGAAGCUCCAGCGCCACCUCAGGGUGAAGCAGCCUUGCGCCUGCUAGACACCCCAUGCACCCCCUGCCUGGCCUAUGUUGCGCAGGAGAGCAACUCCGGCGACAGCAAAGCGUCGGCGAGGCAGUGGCCAGAAGCCGCCUGAUUUUUCCUUCCGAAGGUGGACCCACUUGCAAAUUAAUCAUUUCUUCUACAGUCAAACGGAUCAUUUUCCUGUUGCUUCAGCCCCACAUGUCAGUAGCUAGGUUGGCCCCACUCGGCAGGAUUUAACCUAGCCCCACCCAUCAGGAGGUAACAGUCAAAGGACUUGAAUGUUAACAUGUCCGCCGUGAGGACAUUUACGAGCAUUUGCCAAAGAACGAAGUGUAGAAACGAGCAACGUUUUAAGCCUUGGGCAAAACUAAGUACAACUAAGGAACCGAGGGCACGGAAAUAAAAAAAACCCUUAGUACAAUGUGCGAGUGUGCAUUCUUGCAGCUGUGGAGAAGAUAGAGCUGAGGGGGAAUAAGCUAGACGUGGUGAGUUUCAUAGUGUUGGCUAAGGCGUCCGAGGAGGGCUAGGUCGCAUGCUCAAGAAUUUGAGCAAAGGAGGCCUAAUCCAAUAGUGCAUGGAGGUUAGCGCUAGACAACUUCAGGAUAACGACAAUAUUCGCUAAAGUGGACUUUGUCAUAGUCGUGUUAAAUAUUGUUUGUACGUAGAGUUAAAGUUGGACGGACUACUCACAUGUAACGUGGACUCCCUUACAUAAGAAGGGAUACUAUAUAAGAAUCGAUGUAGCUCAGACAGUCAUCUCACAAUUAGUGAGGGAUGCCCGUAGUCAAAGCAUCCGGAUGUAACCGCAAGGUGAAUGCCGAAGGUGCCAAAGUCUUUUCUAGCGGGCUGGCUAGCUACCGGCACGGGAUCAGCCAAUCCCUCGCUACCAGCCUGCACGAUGUAUCCGAACGCCGCAUGUGUAUUCUUCGUAUUGAUCCUUUCUCCCAUUUAUUGGACACAGUAUUCUCAAGUCUGGGUCCAAACAUGUGAUGUGAUAAGAAGAACGGAAUUUAUAUCGGGAGAACGUUCUCCCCAGUGCUUCCUGGCGCGACGCGCUUGCGUGCGUUCGAUCGAGACGGGGAGCUCGUCCUCGUCGCGUGCUGGUCCCGCUUGAAGUCCACGUUAGCGCUAGCUUGGUGUUGCAUGGUGCAGUGGUUCAAUUGUUUUGGGAAUCACGCCCACUUCUGUUCCCCUUAACGUCUACUGUUAAUGAGCCUAUCAUUUAAUCUUUCUGAACUGCUCUCGUAUGCCCCUUUUCUCCAUUCCACCGCGCGCUUUGCUUUCUCCUAUCUUUUGCUUGCUCUCUGCUAAUCCGCUUUCGGCCUUCCGCCGCGUUCGUGUUCGUCUACGAUUGGUGUUCGGUUCCUGUCAAAUCUCGCGACUCCUAGGAAGGGAACCAUCCUCCUCUGUUUUCUUGGGUUUUGAGGUGGGAAUUAUUGGUUGGGAGUGUGUCAGGGUGUUGUUGAUCGCAUCGGGUUCGGGAUUCCAGGUGAGUUUGUCUGCGGCAUUGCUUGGAUUGCUGCCGCGAGUUCGACCACAGUUGUUUUGUGUGCGGAUUCCAAAUGAUUUGGUUGAUUUUUUCGUGUUCUCGGAUGAUUUUUGGGUUUGUGUGUGUCGGGGUUUUCAGUGGAUAGAAUAUGUUCGACAGAUUUUGGGCACGGGUGGUUCAAAAUGAAUCCGGUUGGUCGAUUUUGCUCCCCAUUUUGAAACAUUUGAACCAACCGCCCCCAUUUUUGUGUGGAUUUGGUACUUCUACCCUUCAGUGUAUUAUGGGCGCGUGUUGGGAGGUUUUGGGGGGCGGAUUCGCAAGAUGUCUCUGCAGGAUGGUGGUGUUAGAUGUUUCAGUCGAUUUUUUGGUUGCGUCUGUCCCUUCUAUUCAGUGUAUUUAUGGCAGCGUGCUGGAUGGUUUUCACUGGUGGAUUCAUGAUAUGUUUUUGCGGGAUGGGUGCUGUUAGAAUGGGGACCAGGGAUUGUCCCUUUUUGCUCAUGUUUAGAUUUUGGUUUUUGAAUUUUAAAAUAGUAGAAGAGACUUAAUUGUGGGAUUAGGGAUGUUAGAUUCAUUAGUUGGAAUGUUUUUUAAUCAGAGAUUAGGGGAGUUUGAAGAGGCUUAAUGUGCAUGUGGUUUUUACAAUAACAUGGCAAUUUGUUACCUACUGUGGUGGCAACUAUAGGGGUCCACUCAUGGCAACUUAGUGUGCAUUGGAUUUGUUUGGAUCAAAUGUGACAGAAUAUGACAACUUAUGUACCUUUUAUAUGGCAAGUUUAUGUGUGUAGGGGUGACAAUUUUACUUAUGGUCAAGAUUACUUAUGCACUUAGUAGUGGAAUUAGGGAUGUUAGAUUUUUCAAUUGUAACAUUUUGAAUCAGAUAUUUAGGUUGUUUGGUAAUGGAGACAUUGCAAUUUUAAACCAACCACAAAUGUAGGUGAUUUUGAUUCGGUCUUAUUUUUGCAGGGUAAUUUGUAGCGUGCAUGUUGUUUUUUACAUUAACAUUCGAUUUCUUACCUAGUGUGGUGGCAACUACAAGGAGCCAGUCGUGGCAACUUAGUGUGCAUUGGGUUUGAUUGGGUGAAAUAUGACAGAAUAAGGCCACUUUUAUAUGGCAAAGUUUAAUUGGCAGUUUUGGGAUGGAUUGGAAUCGAAAUUUUGUGUUUAAUUGUGUUUGUCGUAAAUUAUCACAUAUGCUUAGGUGGGAGUUUGUGGAUGGAUUGGCUCAAUUUUUGGUUAUCCUCCUUUCGUUGCAUAGUGCAAUCAUAUUUUUGUUCUUUUACAUGGCAACUUAUGUAUUCUUAGUUGGUAGUUAUAUAUGUCCAAAUAGUGAUUUUUGCACAAAUGUAGCAGUGUGGGGCUUGGAUUGGCUCAAAUAUGACAUAAUAUGGCAACUUAUUCACUUGUUAUGUGGCAAGUUCAUGUGCAAAGGGGUGGUAAUUUCCUGCAUGUUCAACUUUAGUUAGCGGGAAGUUUGGGAAUUUAUUUGGAUCAAGAUUUGGGUCAAUUUGUUUUUUGUUGUAGCACAAAUCAGAUAUGGCGUUUUAUGUCCUUGUUAGGCGGCAAUUUAUGUGCAAGUUGACGGGGGAGGGGGAUAAAUUAUUGCUUAUUUGUCAUUAUUUAGGUGAGAGUUUGGGAUGGAUUGGCUCUUUUUUUGGUUAUCUGGUCUUUCGUAGCAUAGUCCAAACAGAUGUGGUCAUUAUGUCCAAAUAGAUGUCAACUAUGUUCAAAUAGAUAUGGCAAUUAUUUCCAUUUACAUAAUGAGUUUUCUUAGGCGGGUUGUUUUAUCGAUUUAUGCCUUGCUUUCUUCAUUUUUUUUCAAAAUAGGUGCAUAUUUUUUUUUUUCAUUUUUAUUUGGUUUUUACAUCUCAGAGGGAAAUAGCGACGGUUAAGAAACGGAAGGCUACUAGUUUGGUGACUGAAGAUAGAAAACGUAAUUAUGUUCACUUUUGAUAUAUUUUUGCAUGGCUAGUUCUGCACAUUUCAUAUGGCAACUUGUAUUGGACUGCCAUUUUCUUAACUGACAUGUUUUAUCUACUUGCUGCGGUAGGUCAUGGUCGCCGCUGAAUUCAAUAUGUCAAUAAGCUUGAGGCUGCCCCAUAGUGUCUUAACCUACAUGUAUCAAUUUGAAAUGAAAUAUGAUCAAAAGUGUGCAAACAACAUGGUCUGCAGAUGAUGCCACGCACCCUUUGGUAACUCUCUGGCCACUUCAAAUAUUUUCUGGUCGAAACUACACAUGUCCAAGCAUGGCAACUCCAGUAGGCAUAGCAUGGCAACUUUUAAUAGGUAGAGCAUGACAACUUAUUAUAGCACAUUGUUCAUAUUGUUGUUUUACCUUCCAAUAUUACUUGGUGUAGUAGUGGCAGUAGUGGAUAAGAGGGAUGCAAACCAUGAAAAUUUCCAAACAAUACAUCAUUGGUUGGCGUCAAUAACGGGAAGGCCCAUGAACCAAAUAUUUUGUCCAUUCCCCCCUUCCCCCUUUUUUUUAUACUUCUUCCUGCGAGAAUAAGAGGCAUAGUCUAGUGCAAAAAUUUGCAGUUUUACAUCUAUCUAGUCAUGUGUUUGCAGCUAAUAUUUUUUAAAACAUUUUUGUACAGGGGGACACAGUAUGUUUUGUUUCUUCACGAUCAAAAUGGAGAACUACAUCAUGGCCAGAUAUAUCUGCACAUAUUAAAUACCUUUGAGUAUUUCUGUAAUGUAGGCAGCUACAUGAAUGCUUGAAAAUUGCAACGUGCUGCAAUAGUGUUUUCAAGUUCAGGUUGUAAGAUGUUUGAAAACAAUAUAUGGUUGUUUCUUGAUUUCCUUCCAUAGGCAAAAUAUUUUCAUAGACCGUGGCAGCUUUAGAUGUAUUAUCGUGGCAGUUUAUUCAUCGGUGCAGUGGCAACUUUUUGGGCACAGUAAACUAGGGAAGGAAGUGCACCUAGGAUUUCUAACCCUUCAGUUUUUUAGGCACCCAAUUAGUUUUCAUUUGGAACAUUGUAGGGACAAUUCAUGAUUUAAUAGGUUUUUCAGAUAAUUAUGCAAUUUGUCCACUUGAUAGAGAAUGGCAACUUUCAGGUAGGCACCCCGGCAGUUUUAAUGGGUGUCACCUGGUUUUUUACUCAUGACUAGGGUGGCAACUUUGUGCAGUUUUGCAUGAAAAGCAUCCCACAUUGACGAGAGUACUUUCAAACAUUACAAUCAGAUGGCAACUUGUUUUAGACAGAUCAUAAAUCUAGAUUUGCAAGACAUGACAACUUCUUUAGGGGAAAAUUGAUACAAGAUUCAUAAGAGUUCCAGAUUGCUAUUUCUAGGUUUUGAAUUUGUGAAAAACCAGUAUACGAUCAUAAGAUGCUUGGAAGUUGGAAUCAGAUCACAUACACGUACAUGAGAGAAUAAGAGAUUGCUGGCAAUUCUUCUUUGUUAUUGAACCAGUAGAAGAAAAUGACCUAGAGUUAUGGACUAAAAGAGGGAGAGGGGUAUAAGAGUUCUAGAUUGCUAUUUCUAGGUUUUGAAUUUGUGAAAAAACCGGUAUACGAUCGUAGGAUGCUUGGAAGUUGGAAUCAGAUCACAUACACGUAGAUGAGAAUAAGAGAUUGCUGACAAUUCUUCUUCAUUAUUGAACCGGUAGAAGAAAAUGACCUAGAGUUAUGGGCUAAAAGAGGGAAAGGGGUAGAUGGGCCUGACAACUUUGUUUGAUCUAGAUUAGAAUUUAGGUCGGCCUUGUUUGGACUUGACGGCUAGAAACGCGUGCACGAUCUAGUUCUGGAGUAGGGCUGGAGUAGAACCUGGCAACUUUGCCAUCUUCCGUGUCGCUGGUGUGUCGCUGGUGUGGUGGUGCCCUUCUGCACGCACGAUCUGGGCUCGUCCAGACGCCGACGGCUCACGCUGGCGCCGCAGCAUGGCGUCGCGCUGGUGCUCUUCCGACCGAACGACCUGCACUCGGUUUCGGCGCGCGGGAGAAAAUGCACUCGGUUUCGGCUCGCGCUCCCGCGCGCACGCGCCCUUGCGUGGCAACUCUGACGUGGCCGCCGACGUGCCAACCUAGCUUUGUGUUCGACGUCGCACGCUGGGACUACGGCGCGACUGUCGCGCCGUAUUCGCUCCCUGAGAAGAAAAGGCUGGCACGGAAGGAACCCUUGGUCCCUCCCUCGUUAACUCCUGCGCCUCUCGAUCGUUCCCCAGACGCCGCCGCCAGAUCCCGACGGCCUCCUCCCUACCGGCGGCCUGAUCCCACCGCUCCGAUUCUCUGUCCACCGCCUCCUCCUCCGGCUCCGGCGAUCCCCUCCCUUCCUGCCCCCUACCUCCUGGCAAGCCCCCCUGGCUGGGCACGGCGCGGCCUCCUGCCCUCGUCCUCCGACCGGGCAAGGCACGGCCUCACGCCCUCCUCCUCCGGCUGGGAACGGCGCGACCUGCCGCCUUCCUCCUCCGGCUGGGCACGGCGCGCGCGGCCUGCCGCCCUCCUCCUCCGGCAGGGCACCUCCACCCCAAGGAGCAGCGUCGCCUGCUGGGUGGGAGCCGAAGGCCGAGUGCUUCUGCUGCUAACAGUACCACCGGAUCCGGCUUCCGCAGCCUCGAUGCCGCCGGAAUCGGGCUCCCCCGACCCUGCUGUGGCCGGAUACAGGCUUCCCCGACCCCUCGCCCCCCGUCUCCGCUAGCUCUCGGAAAGUUUUCUUCUCUUUCUCUCUCUUCUUUCAUGCUCUCUCUCUCUCUAACCUGGUGGCGACCCCCUGGUCCUAAGUCCUAACUCGCACGGUGACCCUGCUUCCUCCUCGCCUCCCUGCCUCAACCUGCGCACGGUGACCCCCUGGACCCAGCCGCCAUCGGUCCUGUCAAGUUAUAUUUGUGUUGUGGAAUUUUGCUCAUAAAAUUGUAUUCUCGUUGAUAUCUCAUCGAUGUACCAUUGAUAUCUCGCCAUGUAUCAUUGAUUUUGUCCCAUGCCUUUCGAAUUUCGAACAGAUUUCAUUGAUAUCUCGUUCAUGUAUCACUGCUUUUGUCCCAUACCAUCCGAAUUUUGAACAGAUUUCAUUGAUAUGUCACUGUUUUUUGUGUAUGCCAUUGAAGUUUCAUUGAUCUAUCGUAAUGAUAUUGUCCCAUACCAUCUAAAUUUUGAACAGAUUUCAUUGAUAUGUCACUGUUUUUUGUGUAUGCCAUUGAAGUUUCAUUGAUCUAUCGUCCAGAUUUGGUUGCCAGGAAUUAUUUCAAUGGUAUAAAUAUCAUUGCAAUAUACCAUUGGAUUGGUACGAGAAAAAAAAUUCUAAACCUUAGUUUUAUCAAUACCAAUUCAUUUUCAAAUUAGUGAAGAAACUGUGUCCAUCCAACAAUGAAACCAAUGGAUAUCAUUUUAAAUUUCAUAGUUUUUCAUUGAGAUAUCAUUUGAAAUUUAUGUCUAUCAUUGAACUUUUGUCAUGGAAAUGUGCAUUAAUGGAAUUUCUGUGAAAUACCAAUGUAUUAAUGGAAAUGUGUAUUAAUGGAAUUUUAUUAACAUAUAUUAUUUAGUUGAUAUGUUGCUGAAUUUUUCAAUACCAUUGAUAUAGUACACGUCAGUUAAUAUAAGUACUAAUGAAAUUUAAGUGAAAUAUCAAUGAAGUUUAAUGAAAUAGAAACGAUAUGCACAAUUGAUAUAAAAUGAGAACCACGAGCACUGUGGUCAGGCUUGGAGGGACCCUACAUUGCUCUACUCCAAGCAGCGCACGUGGGCGGGGCCCUGCUUAGGGAAUACAAAAGAAUACAUAGUGAAUACAUGGGAGAGGGCGUUCUACUUUAUUGCGUGUCAGAGGCUGAUUGGUGGAUGGCGUGUCGGUAGGUAGCUGGCCCGCUAGAAUCGCCCCUCUCUGCCGAAGGUGCGUUCUCCUUAAUUUUCGAGAAAAAAAAACACAAGGUGAAUCGGAUGAACAAAUGGCAUGUCCCAUUUGUGUGAUUCUCUGUUUGUGUUCUUUGUAGAUCAAGACUUAAUCUUGGUGUGAUUAUCUAUGAUCUUUAUAAAGUUGAUCCCUACUAAGAGUCACAUUUUAUGUUUGCAAGCUCAACAUGUCAAGUGUCAACAUUAUCAAGUUGAUUUCCACUAAUCUUAACAUGCAAAGUGCCAUGUCAUCAAGUUGAUUUUUCUAUAAAGUUGAUCCCCUAAGAGUCAUUUAAUUAAUGUUUGCAAGCACAACAUGCAAAGUGUACACAUCAUCAAGUUGAUUUCCAAUCUUAACAUGCAAAGUGCCAUGUCAUCAAGUUGAUUUCCACUUAGAUUCAUUUAAUAAUGUUUGCAAGCUCAACAUGAAGUGUCCACAUCAUUAAAUUGAUCACUAAGCUCAACAUACAGAGUGUCCACGUCAUCAAGUUGAUUCCCACUAAAGAUCGGUUUGAUGUUCACAAGCUCAACAUGCAGAUUGUCCUCCAUGCGUGACAAAAGCAUAACUUAUUUAUUUUAUCUCAAAGCACUCUCAUCAUAAUUUUUUACCUUAGACAUCCCAAUUCAUCAAAUCAUGUCCUCUCUACUCUCAUCAUUCCAACAUUAUAAGAAAUGUACAUAUGUAAUUCAAAAGCUGAGCCAUACUAAACCACCACCGGUGUUUCUAACUUUUAAAACCAUGUCUUCUCAUGCUCACAUCUCAGACCAACUGCCGUGUGAUCAUUCAGUUGUGAACACUGAUUACAUGAAAAAUUGAAUGCCACAUUUACAAGUUAUUCUUAUCGAACUCAGAGAAACAACAACAUGUAGUUUCAAUACUCCUAUAUAGUUGAUUUUGCUUCAUUGCAAUCCAUUUUUCUUUCACGUAGGACAAAUGUAUUGUUUUUAGACCCGCAGCAACACACGGGGUAUCCACUAGUUCUAACGAUAAUUGUGCCCUUGUGGAAAGCAAUAUUUAAGUAAAAAAAAAAGAUUAUUCUAGCAACUUGAUGUGUGUCCCCAGUUUAAAGCAAUAUUAGUCCGGGGUUUAAAUAAAUUGAGACGCCAAGUUAAAAUCAUCUCACAUAGUUUUAGUAAAAAGAGCCGAAUAGUAUGUUGAAGCUGCAACUUGCAGCUCCUGCUUCCUUGGGCUGCCUCACGCAACACACGCAAGAACACAAGAUACACAGUGGUUUGCGUCGGGCUACCUUACACAACACAACUUUUGUUCCUUGUUUGUGUUCUCUCAACAAAAACAAACAUCACACGCACAUCUGGCUGAGCAAACUAACUUGUGCUAGUCUUGUGCCACUCACUGCACGCAAUUAGGAACCACACACUACGCCACUCAACCAUGACCUCUUCUUCCACACUAGGAAAUAGGAACAACAUUCAGGCCACACAUGCACAUGCAGCAGCAAGCUGGAUGGAUCAGCCGAUGGACUAGCUUGCUCGUAGCUUCACCUGGCCAGCGGCAUUGCACGGCACGACGGUAUCUCAGCAUAUACACCGCGUCACAUUGGCAACUCGGCAUCUCGCCAGCACGCUCUCUAGCCGAAAUUUUUUCAGCUCUGUACGUCUCACACUUGCAUCAUAUGGCAACCCUCCAUGCAUCUGACUACUACUCUCUCUGAUCCAUAUUAAUUAUCGAAAUAUCAUGUAUCUAGACGUUUUUUAGGCAUAGAUACAUUCAUAUUUAGACAAAUUUGAGACAAUUAAUAUGGAUCGGAGGGAGUAUUAGAAAAUCAAAAAUAAUAUGCUAACACAGUAAUUCAAUCAGUUCAAGUCCCCCAUGCUCAGGACUCAGGAGACCGAGAGUUAAGUGCAUGCACGCAUGCUACUAGCUAGUAGCAGCGAACGUCUCUGCUUGCAUAUGCAUCUCCUCGCGCGCCGAUCGAACCGAUCGAGAGUUACGUGCAUACACCGUUGUAUUUCGGUGGGGGUUGUUAGUUGAGGUUCCCGUGGAUUCUUUCGUUUAAUUCUCAAAGAAAGCGACAAUUCUAAAAAAAAAAAGGAGUAUUGCAAGAGUUUUCAAAUCGACGGGCUCCAUCGUUCUCUAUAAAUCAAGAAUCUCACAUGCAUCUCUCUUCAAUUCAUCUCCACGCCCAGUAAGAAUGGCAUUCUUGUUCUUGCCCGAGCAUCUCAUCUCCACGCUUGUGCUACUCCUAGUUCCAGCUUUGUACAUCAAGUGUAGUCGAUCAAAGAAUCCAUUGCAGCCGAGGAACUGGCCAAUAAUCGGCAUUCUUCCUUCCCUCGUUCAAAACUUCCACCGAUUCCACGACUAUGCCACUGACCUCCUAGCUUCCUCAGGGCACAGCUUCAAGUUGACCAUAGCCAGCAUGGGGUUCACUGCUACGGAAUUGGUUAGCAGUGGCGGGCCAAUUUCAACACCGGUGGCGGUGGACCGGCCCGCCACUAAGCCUGCGCCACUAGUGCUGACGAGCACCGGUGGCCGGUACGACCACUGCCACUGCUAAUACCUUUUUCCUGUGGCGGUCAAGAACCACUAGUUCUAUUUCUCUAGCGGCGGUGAAAAAUCAACGCCCCUGGUAAGAUUUAGAUGAAUUAAAAAAAAAGCAGACCCGUGCCUGCACUGCAUCGUCACUGAUGACGUUGGAGAAAAAACACAGAUUCAAUUCCGAUACAAACACACAGAUACAAAUCAGACCCAGGCCGUGUGGCUCCAACAACAAGAAUCAAUCAAAACUAUAGAAAACAUUUCAGAUCUAAGCACUAAGACCAGUUCGGAGUAAGUGUGCUUGAACACCUUUGGAUCUAGAAAAAAAAGAAUAAAAGAAGAGAGGAGUUGCAGCCGCCCUCCUCUCCAUGCCAGCGGCGGCACGGACUGGACGUGGAGGUGAAGCCGGCGAGUUGCAGCCGCCCUCCCACCUGCAAGUGGCGCCGUCCUUCUCUCCUCGCUCGUCUGCAACGGAGUUAAGAGAGGGAGGGUGUGUGAGAGGGAGAGAGAACUCACCCGGAUCCGCGGCGCCAGGACCAAGAAACGCCGGAUCCAGAGGCGGCGGGGCCGAGCGCAGCCAGACCAGGCCCCAUCCGGCCAUGGCGCAGGAGGAGGGGAGACCUCGGGAGCGCCAUAGCAGCAGCCACGCGCGUCGGCGGAGUCAGGGGUGGGUGCCUUGUCGGCGGAGUCCACCUACCGCGGGGAGUAGGGAGGAGAGCGGCGGCCGAGUGCGCCGAGGAGCUAAGGAGGAGGGCGGCGGCGUGGAUCUGCAGAGGGCAGAGGAUGAGGGAGGCCGCUGGGAGCAGAGAGAGAAAAGGGAGAGAGGCCCACGUUUGGAAAAAGAGAGGAGAUAAUAGAGAGGCUCACAUGUUGGAAUAAGAGAGGAAGGGGAUCAGGCUGUCCGAUGGGCCGGCAAGAAAACGAGCGGCCGAGCAAGAUACACGUCACCGAUCCAUGGCACACCAGCUCCACCAAUCGCACGCAAGCACACGUAUUCCGUGUUUUUCAAUUCCAUGGCAAGCGAGAUACAACACGGGUGGCGGACUGGCGGGUAGUACUACGAACCGGCCACUGGUGCUGAGCUAGAGUUUUCCAAAAUUCUUCUCUAGCACCAGUGGCGGACUCUACUGAACUACCUGCCACUGGUGCUGAUUUUUGAAAAUGGUAUUAAAUUCGUAUUAUAUUUUAUGAGUAUUAAAAAAUUACAAAACCUGUACUUUUGAGUGUAUACCAAGGAUACUUAUUUGAAAGUGAAGUUUAAACUAUAAAUUGAAAAACUUUGUACACUAAUUUGGAUAAUUAUGUGUGAUUAUGUGUGGCUUUUGUGUACUAAAAAAUCUAUAAAAUUCAUUUUUACUCAGAAUCUUCCCAAAUUUGGUUUGGACACUUCCCUAAUGAUAAGAAACACACAUACAAAAAUUCAAGUUCAAACUAAAAAUUCAAGUCACAUUUGGUUGGUUGGUUAGAUGGUUUCAGAGAGUUCUACCUCGAUGGCCCCAAAAUGAAAAAUUGUUGUGGUCAAUUUAGAGUUUUGUCUUCAAAAAUUAUAUGUAAGCUUCUUGUUGUAUACUAAGUUUCCAUGCAAAAAUUCAGAUCAUUUUGAGCAAAAUUGAAUUUUCUAGCAAUUAUAACUUGAAUAUGAACAACAUAAUCAUAUAAAUGGUUGAUGAUAAUUUUUUAUUUAGGUUUAAAACUUUGAAUGGGACAAGAUAUUAUCACUUUACACUCAAAAGGACAGGUGGUUUAAUUUUUUGAAAAACACAGAAUAUAAUAUGAAUUUAAAACCUCAUCCAAAAUUACUUACCAGUGGCGGGUUCGUUGUGCGGACCGGCCACUAGUGUUGUUUUGUGAUAUUGGUAAUCUUUUGUUGAGUAGCAGUGGCUGUUUUGAACUCAGAACGGCCACUGGAGGUGGGGCGUUACCGGUGGCGGUUUUGAACUUAGAACAGCCACUGGUAACCAUUGGGGGAAUCCCCAUUGAACACCAGUGGCUGUGGACGGGCACCGCCACUGGUGGUGGAGCACCGGUGGCUGUGGCUGGCCACCGCCCCCCGUGGAGCACCCGUGGCUGUGAUUUUCUUGCCCCGCUCGAAUAGCCACUAAAGGUCAUGCGCCAAAGCCACAUUCUGGCGUAGUGGUUCUUCAUAACCUGUGACCCAGCCAAUGUGCAGCACAUCUUCACCUCAAACCAUGCAAACUACCACAAGGGCGAGGGCUUCGCCGACAUCUUCGACGUGACUAAUGGCUCCCUGUUGACCGUUGACGGCAAAUCCUGGCGCCGUCAACGUGCAAGGUACAACCGUGCUUUGAGCAGCCCCAGGUUUGUUGCCUUCACGACAAAGUACUGCCACGACAAGGUGGAGAAAGGCCUCCUACCCUUCUUGACCCACGUGGCGAGAACCGGAAACCCGCUUGAGAUUAAUGAUCUCAUGGGGAGGCUUGUUUUCCACUUGUAUGCCACGUCCGUCUUCGGCGUGGACCCUGGUCUCCUAUCUCUCGAUAUGCCACCGGUACACCUCGUAGACGCCAUGGACACGGUCAUGGAGGUGGGCUUGGUCCGGCUUUUUGUUCCAGCAUUUUGCUGGAAAUCGAUGAGGCGCCUAAACAUCGGUCUCGAGAGGAAGCUUGCCACGGCGCAAGCAGUGCUUCGUGGCUUCGCCAUGGAAAUGAUUGAUAGGAGGAAGACCAGCAGUACCCAUAUUGGUCUCCAAGAACAAGCGACGGCUUCAUCCGUGGACAUUCUAUCAAACCUUAUCGAUGACCUGGACUACAAUAAUGAUGAUUUGCUUCAGGCAAUACUCAUCGCCACAAUGAUUGCUGGAAGGGACACGAUCGGCACUACCUUGGCAUGGAUCUUCUACAACCUUGACAAGAACCCACACGUUGUGUCAAAGAUACGCAAUGAAUUGGCACCCAUCGUGUCACGCAAAGAAACCAUUAUUGCUAGCGACCCUAUGCCGUUUGAGCCAGAGGAGGUCAAAGCUCUAGUCUAUCUGCAAGCAAGCUUGUUGGAGACACUAAGGUUGUACCCUCCCGUCCCUUCCGAGCGAAAGGAGGUGGCCGCCAGCGAUGUGAUGCCGAGUGGCCAUGAGGUGUGUGCCAGGGACAUCGUCAUCAUUUCCCUAUACUCCAUGGGUAGAAUGGAGGAUGUGUGGGGGGUUGACUGCUAAGAAUAUAGGCCAGAGAGGUGGCUCUUAAAGGAUGGAGCCAUGCUUUGGCAUGUUCCCUCUCACAAGUUCUUGGCGUUCAACUCGGGGCCAAGGUUGUGCCUCGGUAAGGACAUUGCUAUCACACAGAUGAAGACCAUUGUCGCUUCGGUCGUGUGGAGCUUUGACAUGGAGGUGUUAGGUGCUCAGGUCAUUAAACCGAAGCUAUCGUGUUUUCUGCAAAUGAAGAAUGGGCUCAAGCUGAAAGUUGCAGAAGCGAGAGAUCUAAUAUCUAGGGAUCUAUGUUAGGCAUCCCAAAGAAUAAUGCAAGCGAUAUGUGCCCUUGUGGUGUUUCUCAUGUAUCUUACCAAAUAUCUCGGAGUAAUUGUAGUACUGCAUUCGCACAGUCGCUACCACAAACCGAUAUAUCCCUAUCGGGUGACUUCUAUUCCUGUCGGGCCCGCAGCCGGCCAACAGGAAUAUAAGUAUUCCCUGUCAGGAAUUACAUGGCACACAGGAGAACACAACAUUUUCCUGUCGGUCGGCUCGAAACACACAGGAAAAUAUAUAUUCCUGUCUGUUUUGAAGCCCACACACGGGGAUGAAGAUAGAUUCCCGUCAGGCAACUGUACACCGACAGGGAAAUCUUCUAUUCCUGUCGGGGUUUUCUUUUCUGGCCAACGGGAAUAUGUAUUUUCCUGUGGGUUGGAGACCGACGGAAAUAUGAAUUGAAAAUGUUUUUGAAACUUUUGACUUACCAAAUGAGCUCCAAAUUGGGCGAGACCAAGCGAGGACUCAUGUUACAUCCUAACAAGCUUGGAAUCAAAAUAUGAACACUAAAUGUGCGAUAUGAUCAUAUCUUGCCUUGAAUGGUUUUAAGGUAAGUCGGACUUAGAGUUGAUCUCUUCUAUCCAAUAACUUUCAGCACAUUUUUCAUUGUUGGAUAUAGUAGGAUUUGGCCCUAUAGUGUAACAUAAGAAUCGCAUAGAAGGUUGUAAAUGAACUAAAUGUAAUUUUUAUUUGAUACCAUUUGUAAAAAAUAAUGUGUUUUUGAUUUUCUGAAACUAUUUAAUGAAAGUAUUAUAUAAAAAAAUUACCAAAAAUAUUAUUCCAAAAUUUAUAAAUCAAUGUACUAGCAAGAAUUGGUUUGAUUCGGUCACAUAUAUGAAAUAAUAUUUUACAUGGUAUUUAUAAAAAAAAUGUAAUAUUUCAUUUUAGUUUUGUACUCCUGUGAGUUAUAGAUGAAACCGACGGGAAUAUCUAUUCUCUCGUCGGUUCCCUCAACGAACACGCAGGAAUUUGACUUUCACAGCACCGCCACGCACUGCCUCAGACGUGUCUGGAGCCCAGGCGAGAACUCUAUCGAUCUCUUUUUUUUCUUCCUUACCCCGAUGGCCGAUACCUACCCUAAACAACAGCCCCCUCAGACUGUCUCAUGCUAUCUCUCCCCUCACUCCCUACCGAGCCGCCGCCACUCCCUCCCAUCACCCCCGCCUUGCUCUCCUCCGUCGGCGCCGGCCCUGCCUCCCCUCUUCUCCGCCGGCCCCUCCUCCCCAUCGCGCCGGCCCCGCCUCCCCCGUCGCGCCCGCAGGCCCCGCUCCUUCCCCCUCCCCAGAUCCGCCUCCCCGUCGGCCGCCGCGCCUCAAUCUCUGUCGCCGUCACUCCCCACUCCUCCACCUCGCGCGUCUGAGCGGCGUCCGUCUUGGCGGCGGCAGUAACGGGGAGCAGUCGUCCUUGCCGGUCUGGUUGAUGGCGGCGGCAGCGCCCCCACCCACCCACCCUCCCUCCUUGGAGACGGAGGAUAGGAGCGGUGAACGGGCCUGCGACUGCUGCUGCCGUACCUGUGCGUCGACGCACUCCGCAUCCGCACGUACCAGGCAUUCGUCGGCGCUGCCCGUGUGCCCAAUCUCUUCCAGUCAGGUUCUUCAAUCCCAUCCUUUCCGAUUAGAUAGAUUAAGUUCAGUUCUAUACUUUUGCAGCUGCAGAGUGUUGGGUUUUAUUGACUCGUCGCCGUCCGUCAUCUCUGAAAUAAUUACAGACAACUUUGCUUUGGAGUUCUGAGAUUGGAAAAGGUGCCCAGUAGCAACAGCUCCACAUCAGGAUGCUUGUUAUUGUUGAGGACAGAUUUUAAUAUUUAGUGCCCUUGACUACCCGAUGUAGCCAUGAUGAUUCAAGUAUUAUGCCUGGAACCGAUUGUUUUCUGAACUCUGGAAGUGAGCUCAGUUGUCCAUUGUCAAAGAGUAAAUUCCAUCUUCCUUAAAGCACCAUAGUCUGACAUCAUUUUUAUCAGGUUUUGGAUCAAUAGUUUGCACUUUGAGCUUAACUUCUUGAUCUCUAUCUCUCAAUGUCAUCUGCUGUUACUCAUUUUUAUGCUUUACAUUAUGGUACAUUGCCUUGACGCUGCUAUGUAGGUUUAAUUAUGGUACAUUGCCUUGUUCAUCUAGAGAGUGCUUAGGUCUCAAUCUGCUGGACCAUCUCAAUUGAUUGGUUGUAUAAACAUGUAGGUUUAAUUUUUCUGUCCAACAGGUAAUCACAUCUCUAGAUGGAGCUUGAGCUGCCAACCCCCAACAGGUAAUCACAUCUUUCUGUCCUCUAAAUCUGAGCUUUUUUACCUCCAAAUAUGAGAAAAUAAAUUGGUGUUUGGAAAAAAUACGCAUGUGGAAAUCUUGUUUGCAUGCCGACUUGUUACCAUUAAUAGGAAAGCUGCUACUGUGUGAGUUGUUGAUCCAUAUCUUGAAGUAUUGUUUAAUGGUAGCUGCUACUGUCAUAGCAUAGUAGUAAUUAGCAACUCUAUGCUGCUUGUAGUCACCUAACUUAAUUUAUGCAUCUACUCGAUGCAGUUAACUUAGUAAUCUGCUUAUGUUUUGUGUUUGCAUAUAUCGAUGUGAGUUCCUGAAGCUAUCCAUUAAUGGAUCAUUGAUAAUUAUAUUGCAUGUAUCUCAAUGAUUAACAAUAUUCUCAGUCAAAUGUAAUCUAAUUCCUGUUUGUUCUUUCUUAUUGAUAUUAUCAGAUGUAGGAUCAUGAAAGUUUCUGGGAAGAUGAUCCUCACUUAAGACUUGGGGAAACGAGCGACAUUGUUCACCCUUGUGGUAUGCUCCUUACACCCAUGUGAUGCUGUAUAGUAGUUGUUGUCCUGCUGUAUUGCUACAGAUGUUGAGGGUUAUCAUUUCAAAUGGUAAAUCUUUCAAAUACAAAUGAACAAGUUUCUUUGAGCUAUUACUUUAGAAAUACUUGUCAUGUACCAUGGUAAGAUACUGAAUUUUUGUGUGGGCUCAAUAUAUGUAAUUGUGCUGAAUUUUGGACCUAAAGAGGCUCUGGCACAAACAAUACUCUCUCUGUUCCAAAAUACAUCUCAUAUAGAUUUGUGCACUUAGACCAAGGCAGCUCUCGUUUCUAGUGCAUAACCACUCAUAUUGGGUUAAUAAUAAAUAGAUGUGGGUAGUUAUUGGCCGCAUGCGGGUUCCAAGAGAAAAUGAGGUGUAUUGUGUAACAAAUGAGAAAAAUCUAUAUACGUUGUAUUGUGGAAUGGAGAGAGUAUUUGACUGACCCUAAUUAGAAAAUGGGAACAUAACUUAUUCAUGUGAGUUGUCCUGUCGGUUUUCUUACAUUUUCCUAUCGGGGUAACAGGAGGACGAAAAAUUGGUAAAUGGGCUGCUACUUUAUUUCCCUGGGAGUGAGCCGACAGCAGUUACUCGACAGGAAAAUUCCGUGAGCUGAUGAGCCUCGACCUGACGACGGAUUAUUUUCCUGUCGUUGACACAUGGGAAUAGCCGUCAGGAAAAUAUCUUCUGUCAGCCAACACACAGACAUUUUCGACUAUCCCUGUAUAGAUAUCCCUGUCGGCCAACACACAGGAUUUAUGUUUCUGUCGGGAAACUGCAUUUUUCCUGUCGGUUCUUGGCCGACAGGGAUAUUCCUGUCUGUAGUAGUGAGUAAAAAUAUCAUUUGUCUAUCUCGUUAAAAGUACUCAUAGAUAAAACUCGCCAAAAACGAAAUCGAUCCUGUUAAUAUCCACCCCUAGAGGAACCCUGGGCAGCUAGCGCAACAACGGUGUCUGACGCAACACCUAGCUUUAACGUUUGGACAGAUCAAUUAAUCGCGGGGGAGGAGGCUCGAAGAAGAAACUGACGUGUGGGAGACAUAUGGUUGGUGUGGACCCGAUCUGUCAUGAUUUGAGAAAAACUGGGGGAAAACACUAGAUGGGGCAAUUUGUGUCAUAAAUUUGCUUAAAUUGGGUAAGCCUUUAGAACUUCCGUUCAAUGGGGUAUAUUGUGUCACAAAACUGAAAUUAGGAGGUAAACAAUGGAAUUCACUAUUAAAAUAAAUAUUUGCUAUAGUUAGCACCAACCAUAUCUCAAGGUAUCAAUCAAACAAAAAUAGUCUUGUUUUUUUUUAUGCAAACAACACAGUGCUAUUAUAUUGCCAAGAAGGUAGACCGGAGUCACCUGCGAAGAACAAAGGAGCAGUACAAAGAGAAAUUACAGGAGGGGAUACAGGGCCCUAAGGCCAAAUUAAAAAGCUAAAACCAAAUCAGGGAACGUCAUCUACUCCGGAGAGAAGUCCAGAGGUGAUGUCCACCGAAACCAGAGCCCAUCUUAGACGAAGUGUGCGAGAGAAUUUGUAAAGAUCAAGGACGCCAAGGCCUCCAAAGCAUUUCGGUAAUCCUACCUUAAUGAGGCAGCUAGCACCCGAGCAGGAGGUCUCACCCUUCCACAACCAUCCACGGCGUAUCUUGUCAAUGGAUUUGAGAAUCGCCGUUGGGACAAACAUAGCCAAGAGGUGAUCGAUCGGAAUCGCGGACAGCACAGAGUGCAGGAUUGUUAUUUUGCCGCCUUUGCUAAGGAUUCUGUUUUUGUAACCCGCUAGCCUUUUGUUGAUUUUGUCCAGAAGCUGCUGAAAUAGGACCUUCCGAGGUUUUGAAAUUGACAGGGGCAGACUUAAACAUGUAGGAAACCAGCAACCAGCGCUGCAAACCCCUGAAGAACCUCCUCGAGAUCGAUGCCCUCACAGCGGAUAGGAAGAAUUUGACUCAUGUGAGAUCGAGAGCCAUGAGCCUUUUGUGACAGACUGACCACACUGAAGUUGCUUGUAAAUAACAAUCAGUCCCAGAUAUUAAACAUCUCUUCUUUCAGAAUGACAGUAACUUCUUUUAUCAUUCAGCGGAUGGCAUUUCUCCUGGAUCCAUGCACAUUAAAAUAUUUAUAAGGCAUCCAGCCUUCUUCCGUGACCUCCCCUCGCCGCUGCCGGGCAAGGCUGCGGCGGUAGCGGCGGGGCUUGGCCGCUGUGUGAUGGCGGUGCGGGCGUGUGACGUAUCGGAAGCGCCGCAGGCGCGUGAGGGCUGAGACGGCGGAGGCCGUGGUGGCGGCUGCAUCGGUGGCAAGGCGGGCUCGGGAGGAUUUGGCUAUAUGGCUUCCCGGUGGAAACCUGAUGUGCGUCCCGGUGCAUGCAAAGCAAUAUUAAAGUCCUCGCUUAAAAGUUGGGGAAAUUUGCUCCCGGACACCAUUAUUUCGUGUGUUUUGCUCAAACACACUCUUCAACCGUGACUUUGCUUAGUACCAUUAUGAUUGUGUGGCCAUUUGCUACAACACACUCUGACAUGUGGAGCUUCAUUGUCAGCAACUCAAUGGCCAUCUUCUUUCUCCUCUAGCAUGACCCUUGCACCCGUAGUCCUCAUUGUGCGCGUCCUCAUUGUGCGCGCUGGUGCAGGUUGACAUAUCAUCGAACACCUUCAACGCGACGAUGCCCAUGGCGUUCCCGGCGUCCUACCUCGUAGGCUCUCUGUAAUUCUGCUCCACCGCCGCUUCCCGUCCGUUGACGAGCUGAGUACCGGUGCCGGACCCGUCCAGUGACGAGCAGCAGAGGAAGGAUAGAUCUCGUCCUCCUCGUAGAACCCGCCACUCCAAUCAUCCUGCCGCUGCCCACACAAGCACUCGACAGCCGAGCCCCACCGUCCUCCCCACUGCACCGACCACGGCUCGUUGCGGCCGCGGACGCCAGCGCGCUCUGCCGCCGCCGAUGGCCGCGACACGCCGACACCACCGCCCGACGCGCGCCCCGCCGGCCACCGUGCCUCGCGCUGGUGCUUUCUUUGCGCCCCUGCUCGCCUGACGAGGCCCUGAGCUUGCCCCACCACAGUCUGCUACCCGCGAGCCCACGUGAGCCAUCCCAAAUGGUGAGAGCCAUCUGUGUAUUGUUUCCGUUUUUCGAUCAAUCUUUGAUGUCGCCGGCGUAUGUGUGUGGGGCUUAAGUGAAUACUACAGCCAGCUGCUGAUCGUUUUUUGCUAGGCUAGUUGUACGCACGCAUCUUGCCGGAGUUCAUCGCCUCUGUCGAAAUUAAUCGAAGUGCUGCUCGUGUGUUGCGAUCUUUUGGUCUGGAACCAACGCGGGCACGCUGCAGGCCAUGUCAAAGGAGGAAAAAGGCUAUUGAGUGGCUGACAAUGGAGCUCCACAUGUCAGAGUGUGUUAUAGCAAAUGGACACAAAAUCAUAAUGGUACUCAGCAAAGGCACCGUUAAAGAGUGUGUCUGAGCAAUGGACACGAAAUAACGGUGUCCAAGAGCAAAUUUCCCCUUAAAAGUUUGAGGUGUCAAGUUAAAAUCUUAUGCAGUUUUAGUAAAAACUGUUGAGAAUAGAGAGUAAACGAGAUUGAGACUAGGCAAAUGAUUUAAGUGUGUGUUCUUUAUUGAUGAUCAAGAUAUAUAUAGAGUAACAAGGGGUGGCAUCAAAAUGUGUGUCCGUUGGAAGAGUUGCCAACAAAGGAUGGCAUUUACAUAUUAGAGAGAGAGGGAAGUGAUGUGUCCCUUAAGCAUGGAUUUAACAUAUGCUAAAUAUAAUUCUAACAAAAACUAAAAAGAGCUGAAGAGUAAUUCAUUCAAGUCGCAUGCUCAGAAAACAGAGAGUCAAGUGCAUGUACGCAUGCUACUAGUAGCAUGCAGCGCAGCUAGCUUCUACGCUUGCAUCUCCUUGCCGAUCGAACCGAGAGUUAAGUGCAUGCUGCACGCAUGAGUAUUGCAAACAGUUUCCAUAUAUAUAGACGGGCUUCAUCUCUAAAAAUCAAUAAAUCUCACAAGCAUCUCUCUCUUCAAUUCAUAUCCAAACUCCCAAUAAUAACAAUGGCAUUCUUGUUUUUGCCAGAGCAACUCAUCUCCACGCUUGUGUUACUUCUAGUUCUAGCUUUGUACGUCAAGUGUAGUAGAUCGAAGAAUCCACUGUACAUCAACUGGCCAAUAAUCGGCAUUCUCCCUUCACUCGUCCUCAACUUCUACAGAUUCCACGACUAUGUCAACCACCUCCUAUCAUUCUCAGGGCACAGCUUCAAGGUGCCCAUAGCCAGCAUGGGCUCCUUCGUAACAUGUGACCCAGCCAAUGUGCAGCACAUCUUCACCUCAAACCAUGCAAACUAUCCCAAGGGUGAGGGCUUUGCCGACAUCUUCAACGUAACAAGUGGCUCCCUGUUCACUGCUGACGGCGAAUCCUGCCGCCGGCAACGUGCAAGGUACCAGAGUGCUUUGAGCAGCCCGGGGUUUGUUGCCUUCACGACCAAGUGCUGCCACGACAAGGUGGAGAAAGGCCUCCUACCCUUCUUCACAAGGGCGGCGAGGAACCGGACUCUCCUUGACAUUAAUGAUCUUAUAGGGAGGCUUGUUUUCGACUUGUAUGCCACGUCCGUCUUUGACGUGGACCCUGGUCUCCUGUCCUUUGACAUGCCGCCAGUGCAACUCGCGGAUGCAAUGGACACGGUCAUGGAGGUGGGCUUCUUCCAGAUCAUCGUUCCGGCAUUUUGCUGGAAAGUGAUGAGGUCCCUUAACAUAGGUCCCGAGAGGAAGCUCGCCGCUGCGCAAGCGGUGCUUCGCGGCUUCACCAUGGAAAUGAUUGAGACUAGGAGGAAGAUUGGCACCCAUAUUGGUCCUGAAGAACAAGCACCGGCUUCAUCCAGCAUGGACAUUCUUUCAAACUUUAUUGAUGACCUGGAAUACAACACCGAUGAUUUGCUCCAGGCAACACUCAUCACCCACAUGAUUGCCGGGAGGGACACGAUCAGCACAACCUUGCCAUGGGUCUUCUACAACCUUGCCAAGAACCCGCAUGUGGUGUCAAGGAUACGCAACGAACUAGCACCCCUUGUUUCACGCAAAGAAACUUUUAUUGCUAGCACUACAAUGACAUUUGAGCCAGAGGAGGUCAAAGCUCUGGUCUAUCUCCAAGCCACCUUGAUGGAGUCACUAAGGUUGUACCCGCCAAUCCCUAUUGAGCGCAAGGCGGUGGCCGCGAGCGAUGUGAUGCCGAGUGGCCAUGAGGUGUGUGCCCAAGAUAUCAUCAUCGUUUCCCUCUACUCCAUGGGUAGAAUGGAGGAUCUAUGGGGGGCUGACUGCAAAGAAUACAAGCCGGAGAGGUGGCUCUCAAAGGAUGGAGUGAUGCUUCGACAUGUGCCGUCUCACAAGUUCUUGGCAUUCAACUCGGGGCCAAGGUUGUGCCUUGGCAAGGACAUCGCUAUUACACAGAUGAAGACCGUUGUCGCUUCAGUCAUGUGGAGCUUUGACAUGGAGGUGUUUGGUGAUCAAGGCAUCGAGCCGAAGCUAUCUUGUCUUCUGCAAAUGAAGAAUGGGCUCAAACUGAAAGUACAGAAGCGAGAAAUGUAAUAUCUUGGGAUUCAUGAGAAUCUAUCAGGAUGAGAGAUUUAGAAAAUGAUUUUGGAUGAAUUGAGGCAUCCGUUCCACCGUCUUUUCACAACUAUAGUAGGGAGAGAGAGCAUUUGCCAACAACUAAGAUAUAGGAAACAUAAUAUAAGUUUCUUUUGAGCAAUAUAAUUUACUUUAUGCUUUAUUUUUUCCUUGUAUCAAAUCUUGUAGGUUCAGUUUUAGUACGACAAAACCUUUUCCCCUUUUGUUAUGCUUGUCUUGAAGAAAGACUUACAUACAUAUGAACUUUACAAGGAAGUUAGAAAUGUUGUCAUGGGAAGCAAAAAAAAAAAGAUGCAAUCAAAACUAAUGACUUCUUCGCCACACGGAGUUUUUAUUGGUGGUACAUCAAGAGAAAACUGUGCAGCAUAUUUGAUAUUCUUUCUGGCCAUGGAAUUAAUAGCAAAACAAACAAAUAUACAUAAAGUUAUUUUGAUGAUAACAAAGAAAAUUAGUCAGCCAACUUGGGGUGAACCCAAUUGACACUAUAAUAGUAUUGUUAAAGACAGAGUUCAAAUUGAUGUAAAAAAACACAUUCAUAAAAGAAGCAACAGCAAGUACAACUUACGAUGCAAGAAAUUCGAGCAAAUUAAGGCAUGGAGGAUACAAGUGAUGCAACCAGCUGACAUCAUUCUACUGGCUAGGUAGCUACUGCAUGCAUGACCAACCACCGGCCCGUAAUAUAGCUUAUUAGUUAAGCUCCGGCGAAAAACUAUGGAACGGUAACAAUGUCACUUCAUUGCAGGAUUUACAAAUAUCACUUUCUUCGUUGCAGGAUUAAUUUAUGUAUCCAAAUUCUGGACGACCGCACCGCUGUGCUGAAUGUAUGCUUUCUUGUCCUCAAGCGAAAUCUUCUUCCUCCCUGCUAACUAAAAUCUUCAAACGCACCAUGAAGACCUAAAACUUUCGAGAUUCGCUAUUGCACAAUCGGCUGAGAAAUAAUAAUUUCUCAGUCGACUCUAUGAACCGUCGAUUCAUGUGCGAUCCGUGCACUCUCAAAUUUGUUCAGGCUUGUUUGGAAUUUCAGAUUGUUGUUGUGCGCUUGUGCUGUUUGUAGCAGGCCCGUCAGAAGUCCUAGCAGGUGCAGGUGUAUGGAUGGCAACUGAGAAAUAACUAUUUCUUAGUCGAUGAUAACAACUUUUUGAUUCAAUCAUUGAGAUUCGUGUAAGAUUAAUGUUGAUCCGCUAGAUAAGAAAGUCUUAUUGGAUGGCUACAAAUGUCGAUUGAGAAAUAACUAUUCUUAUGCGACCGAGAAAUAGACACUCCCUGUAAAAAUUGUAAGUGUAGUUCAUGUGUUUUUUUUCAAAACAAAGAUAGUUUCUUUUUUUAUCACUAAAUAGCAGUCAAGUGUAACUUUCUGUACUAAUGUUUUGCAAUUGCAACCUAGCUUCACUAAUUAUAAGUGUAAUUUUUGUCUUAUCUUUUUUCUUCUUAAUCCUAAUAAAAAUAGCGGUCAAAUGUAAUUUUGUGUGCUAGUAUUUUGCAACUACAACCUACCUUCAGUAAUUAUAAGUGAAUUUUUGUGUGCUUACUUUUCAAUAAUUAUAAGUAAUUAUAAUUAUACUUUAAUACGUUGCAACAGAAGGCCCCUUUGCUAGUAGAUGUUUAUUAUGUGAGUCAGUGGCAGAAUAGAUGUUUAUAUGUUUUGUCAAUUCUCAAAAAGGGAAGAUUUUCUCUCGCGGCAGUAUUCGAUGGCUCUUGCUACUCCUUGCCCACAUUUGGGCAGAAAUUGAGCUUCGGGGAUCCCCUUGAAUUCAAUCUUUUCUACAUAUGCAUCCAAACAACUGAAAUAGUUGUAUAGCUGCAAGAUCUGAAUGAGUAGGGGAAAAUCGCCAAACCCUAGAAUGCGUCAACCUAGCGAAAGUGCCAAAAUAAAAUAAAAAUAGCAGAACAGAGGUCAGAUCUAACCUUGGCUGCCUGCCACCUGAUCUCGCACUUCAUGAAUUCGCAGCCGUAGUCCGCGUGAGAGGUACUAGCCCGUACUUAUGCCAUGAGUGCGGCAGAGCAGAUGAGCUUCCACGAGACAUCAUGGUGGUCCAGUCUCAACAUAGCAGUCGCCCUUGUCGCCGUUGAAAGAGAAAAACGGGGUGGGGAAGAACAAGGGAGGAAAACCGGGUGGCAUGGGGGGAGCCUGAUCGUCCCGUCUUGCAGCCGUCUUGUGGGUCCUACACUAACGUGGAAAUGGUGUGGGUCCCACCUGUCAUGGGUGUUUCCCGUUGUGACUUGGAUAAGUGGUGGUUCCCACUGGUGACAUGGAUAUAUAAGUUGUCGUUGGCAUCCAGGUACAAAAGGCAUCAAAGAUAUAUUUGCGAGGGUAAAAUGGUGCUUGUCGUCCAUUAGAGCUCUUUCAACGUGAAUACAUUUGAAAGAAGGUGUACAUCAAUUAUUUCAUCAUAUAACUAUGUACUACCGCGUUCUACUCUCGCAGCCUACCUAGGAGCUUGUGCUGCUUCAAAAUAAGCUGCAUUAUAGUAUUUUAAUUUCCAUAGGCUGCUCCCCUAAUUUCCACGCGACGGGUUGGUGCCGCUGCCGUCCCAGUCGGUGCGAGCCCACGCGGCCACGCUCAUGGCCUCCAAGUCAGUCCACACAUGCAGAUACGUUUUGAACAUGACACCUGGAGUAGUAGUUAGUACUAGUUAGCAAGGUGGCCGCUUUCCCUAGCGCUCUACUGCCACUUAAUUAGAUCGUCUAUAAAAGGAAAUUAAGAAAGCUAGAAGCAGGAGAAAGCAGCAGCAGUCAGGACAGGUCAUCAGCUGCUAGCACUACUGCAGAAAGGUUUAUCACUAACGGUCGAAAAACAACAUCAGUAACGAUCGGGGCCGCCGUUGCUAACUUCGUGUUACUGAUGAUGGGUAUCAUCAGUUCACUAACUGUCGUAGUGACCAUUAUUUAUGUAUAUAUACAUCAGUGGCGGACGGGCUGACACGACCGUUACUGAUGUAUAUAUCAUCAGUAACGGUCGCGUUGCCACAUCAGUGUCGGUCGCUCAGUGUUGGUCGAGCGACCGACACUGAUACAUUUUCGGUAUUUAAAAAAAUAAUUAAAAUCACAGAAAAUACAUAGGAAAUACACGUAAUUGUAUAUACAGCACAUCACAGAUUGUAUAUACAGCAUAGCACAUAAAAAUACAUAUUAAGCCGCAUCACAUCACAGCACAACACAUCACAUCAUAUCAUUUAAACCAUACAAAUGUAUAUAAAGCCGCAUCAUCUAAAGCAUAUAAAGAAUAUGUCGCACCAGUGGCACCCCGGGUACCACCGCUGCGCGACGCGUGGGCCCCUCCCCCGGGUUCCCGGGAAGGUCUCAUCCCGGGGAGCGCUGACGAGCUCCCCGGCAAGCUACCAGCCCGAAAGGGGCAAGCGGGGCUUCUGGAAAUAUUCCCGGUUAGGCACCUCCCGGGAAGCUGCUUCCCAGGAGGAGGUUCCCGGGUGCGCUGGUCCCGGGUGCUUCCCGGGCCGACUUGCGGGGACUGGGGGUUCCCGGACGCGUGCCCCCGCCUCGGGUCGUGGGGCCCACUGGACAGCGCCACACGAGCGCGUGACGGGCGCGGAAUGCGCGGUCCCACCAAGGCAAGGGGUAAGGCACGCGGCUCAACCGCCUCCACCGCCUCCCCGACCGUCGACCGACAAUCGGCCGAGGGGACCAGCUGCCCCCCGCGCCGGGGGCAGUCGGGCGAGCACGCAUGGCGUCGCCCGGGCCAGCCAACGGGUGGAGUCGCGACCCGAGGAUGCCCUGCGGCAGCAGCACCCGGAGCACGCCGCGUCACGGGCGACCUCUGGAGGUUCGCACCCUGCGCACCCGGAGGCGUCCGGGGCUAGGGCGGGAAGCAGCCGUUCAUGAAAUCGGUUGCCCCCCGUGCGAACCCCGGCUGAAGCCAUCGUCGCCGCGCGCGUCAUGGUGCGGUACGAGCCGCAGCAGGGCACGCCGGCACACGAGACGUGGGGCGAGGAGUUGGAAGCGCUUCUCGCCUUGGCCGCCCAACAGCCGCAAGGCGAGGGCGCCCCGGUAGGCUCCGGCCACGGGCCGAACUCAGAGCGCGAAGGCGCGCCGCCCGCCUCGCGACAGGGGAGAACCCUCCCCCUCCUCAGCGGGGCCUGGUAGACGGGGGCCCGGAGGGGUCCUCGAAUUCGUCGCCCACCGUCCCGGAGGGCGAUGCGCGUGGCAUCUUGAAUGCCCGAGAACAGGAGGAUCUGCGCCCGUGCUUGGAGCGCCGGCGCAGGCGCGAGGUGGAGCGCCGGCACCCACUGGAGCAAGAAGAUGCUCCCCUGGGCCCAGAAGACGGCUGCACCGCGUUCGCGCGCGAGUUGCGGCGGGUGGUGUGGCCCCGUAAGUUCCUAGCGCCUGCGCUCGGUACGUACGACGGGACCGCUAACCCCAAAGAUUUUCUCCUGACCUAUACGCUGGGCAUGCAUGCCAUCGGCGCCGACGACAAGGUCAGGGCGAACUGGUUCCCGAUGGUCCUGAAGGGAUCAGUGAGAACCUGGUUGCUCAACCUGCCCGCCGGAUCCGUCGCCACCUGGGCAGACCUGUGCGAGCAGUUCGUGAGCACGUUCCAGGGCGGUUAUAAGCGCCCGGGAACCAUGGCGGAGCUGCACACCAUCGUGCAAAAACCGGGAGAGAUGUUGCGGGCCUUCGUCAACCGCUUCUCCAAUCUCUCCUAUUCUAUCCCGGAGGCGGAGGCGGCCGCCAUCAUCAACACCUUCGCCAUCAACGUCCGCGAUCCCAAGAUGCGUGAGAAGCUGAGCACGCAUCGGAUCCGGACGACGCAUGACUUGUACGCCUUGGCGCACAAGUGCGCCAUGGCCGAGGAGGGGCGCCUAGCGCCCGAGCUGGCAGCCCAGGCUGCCGCGAGCCCGGGCUCGGGCUCGCAAAAGAAGGGUUCCCGUAAGCGCAGCGGGAAGCAAGUCCUCGCUGCGGACUCGGGGGCUCCUGCUGCGAGGGCCACGAAGAAGGCCUCGCUGGGGGGAGAGUCUGGCAGGAAGCAGAGCGAUGCGGCCCGCUGCCCUAUCCACAACAACUCCACCCACGACGCGCAGAGUUGCCGCGUCCUGCAAGGGAUCAAGCAGCGGAGGGAGCAGCGCCACGAGGAGCGCCGUGCCGCUGGCGCCUGCUUCAAUUGUGCCCGAACGACCCCAGAGCAGGUCCGAGGCCGGCCGGCGGUGGUGCCGGCAGGGUUGAACCCCAAGGAGGGCGCAGCCAGCCCCUCGCUGCACGGGAACGCCCUCCUCGGGGGCGUGACAGGGCGCGAACCGAGGAGCAGCGGGAGUCCGACCAUUCCGGCGGCGACGAGCCAGGCUUCCAGGAGCCUCGUGGCGUCGCCUGCAUCCAUGGGGGAGCUUACGCUCUCCCAUCCCACGCCGCGGUGAAGCGCCUCACCCGCGACGUGUGCGCGCCGUUGCCGGAUGCGGAGCCGCAACAGCCGCUGAGGUGGUCGCACGUGCCGAUCACCUUCAGCGCCGACGACCACCCGGUGCGACCGGGGUAAUACCCUUCGUCGUCUCGCCGAUCAUUAGCAAUAUGACGGUGACCAAGGUGCUGGUGGACAACAGAGCGGGGCUUAACCUCCUAUCCGCCAGGCUGGUGGAAAAGCUCCAGCUGCCGAUGGAGCAGCUGAAGCCCACCAAACCAUUCCGGGGGGUGAACCCCGGGAUCGUGCGCCCGCUGGGACACAUCAUGCUGCCGGUCACCUUCGGGUCCCGGGAAGCAUUCAGGACCGAGCACAUAGUGUUCGACGUGGCGCAUACCCCGUUGCCCUACAACGGGAUCCUUGGUCGGCCGGCGCUGAUCAAGUUUAUGGCGGCUACGCAUUGCGCCUACGGCGUGAUGAAGAUGCCGUCCGUCUACGGAGUCCUCUCCAUCGGGUGCGAUCUCAAAGACGCUGCUUGGUGUGUUGGCGAGGUCGUCCGGGCUGCUGCUGCAGCUGACGCCGGCGACGAAGGUGUUGUCGAGGACGACGCCCUGCCGGGUGACGCCCCGGCAAGGAAGAAGGCCCGCGCCACCCCGCAAGGGCUAGCCGGAGGAGGCGCGGGCUCGAGCGCGCGUCCCGGCAAGGGGCGGGGGCUCCGGGAGGAGGCCGCCAAAGUGAAGAAGCUGCCCCUCCAAGCCGGCGACAAGGAGCGCACCGUUACCGUCUGUGCGAACCUGACCGCCGAAUAGGAAAGCGCCCUCGUCACCUUCCUCCGGGAAAACGCCGACGUGUUCGCCUAGGAACCGUCGGAGCUUCCCGGAGUCCCCAGGGAGGUGAUUGAGCAUCGGCUCGCGGUGCGCCCGGACGCGCACCCCGUCAAGCAGAAGAUCCGGCGGCAGGCACAAGAGCGGAAAGAUUUCAUCAAGCAAGAGGUGGGCAAGCUCAGGGCUGCCGGGGCGAUCAGGGAAGUUUUGUACCCCACUUGGCUGGCUAACCCUGUAGUAGUGCCCAAAUCGGGGAAUAAGCUUCGCAUGUGCGUAGAUUUUAUAGAUCUUAAUCGUGCAUGCCCCAAGGAUCCCUUCCCUGUACCCCGUAUCGACCAGAUAGUUGAUUCUACCGUUGGUUGUGACCUGUUGAGCUUUCUGGAUGCUUUCUCCGGCUACCAUCAAAUCAAGAUGGCGGUCGAGGAUGAGGAAAAGACAGCGUUUAUCACCCCGGUUGGCUGCUACUACUAUACAUGCAUGCCUUUCGGGUUGAAGAACGCGGGCUCCACAUUCCAGCGCGCCCUGCGAGAAUGUUUGGGGCCCCAGCUAGGCCGCAACGCGGAGGCCUACAUGGAUGACAUCGUCAUCAAAUCGAAGCGUAGGGACUCGCUGAUUGAUGACCUGCGGGAGACAUUUGACAACCUCCGCAAGAUCAAGCUCAGGCUGAACCCUGAUAAGUGCACCUUUGGUGUCAACUCCGGGCAGCUUCUGGGUUUCUUGGUUUCACACCGGGGGAUACAGGCCAACCCGACCAAAAUAGAAGCCAUCGAGAAGAUGGAGGGCCCCCGCAAGGUGAAAGAUGUUCAGCGCCUCAACGGCUGCGUUGCCGCGCUUGGACGCUUCAUCUCCAGGCUGGGCGAGCGUGCCCUUCCUUUCUUCCGGGUACUGAAGAAGAAGGGUCCAGUCGACUGGACUGCCGAGGCUGAGGCGGCGCUCCAGGAACUCAAGCGAUACCUGAGAUCACCGCCCAUCCUCGUCGCCCCCAAGUUGGGCGAGCCGUUGCUACUCUACUUAGCGGCGACUGACCAAGUGGUCAGCUCGGUGCUGGUUGCCGAGAGGGAGGAAGACAUCCCGGGGAUUGGGGCUGCGGGGCAGGGGGCUGAGCAGCCUCCGGCAACCACCUCAAACCCAGGGACCACCCCAGAGCCGGCAACCCCGGCGCCUCGGAAGUGGUUGGUGCAGCGACCGGUGUACUUCGUCAGUACGAUGUUGCGCGACGCGCGGACAAGAUACCCGCAAGUACAAAAGCUCCUUCUGGGGAUCCUCCUUGCGUCCCGCAAGUUGCGCCACUACUUCCAGGCGCACCGCGCCACGGUGGUGUCCGGGUUCUGCCUCGGGAGGACCCUCACCAACUGUGAAGCCACCGGGAGGGUGGCCGAAUGGAGGAUGGAGCUGUCGGAGUUUGACCUCCACUUCGCCAACUCCAAAAGCAUCAAGAGCACGGCCCUGGCGGACUUCGUCGCGGAGUGGACGUCCACGGGCGUAGAAGAAAGUGAGUCGGAGACCGGCCUUCCCGGCAAGCUGGACGAGGGCCACUGGGUCCUCUACUUCGACGGUGCGUUCAGUCUCCAGGGAGCGGGGGCCGGGGUCGUCAUCGAGUCACCCACAGGGGACCAGCUGCGGUUCGCCGUCCAACUCGACUUCGCUAACUCCACCAACAACACGGCGGAGUACGAAGGCCUGCUUGCCGGGCUGCGGGCAGCGGUCGCCCUCGACAUUAAGCGCCUGGUUGUUCGCGGUGAUUCCCAGCUUGUGAUCAACCAGGUGAACAAGGACUACGAUUGCCCUCAAAUGGCGCCAUACGUAGAAGAGGUCCGCAAGCUGGAACGGAAGUUCAAGGGUUUGCGCUUCGAACACGUCAAGCGGAACGACAACUUCUCUGCUGACGAGCUGGCCAAGAUGGCAGCGGAGCGCCGAAAGCCUCCGGCGGGGGUGUUCUGUCAGAAGCAACUGGCUCCUUCAGUCACCCCCCAGCCAGCUGCCGGGGACGCCCCUCCGGCAACCGAGGGAACCCCUGCAGCAGCAGGGGUCCAUGCCGCUGAUAUGGCGGCAUGCGUUAGCAGAGAAAUUCCUCCCUGGGCGGAAGAGAUCGCCCGCUAUUUGAAAGGGGAGGCUCUCCCGGAGGAUGACGUCACUCCGGAGCGCAUAGCGCGGCAAGCCAAGAUGUACACUGUGAUAAACAGCAGCAUCUACCGCAAGCGUGCAAAUGGUGUCAAACUUAUCUGCGUGUCGCAGGAAGAAGGGUGUCCGCUGUUGGAAGACAUACAUCGAGGCACAUGUUCACACCAUGUGGCCUCCCGGGCUUUGACCGGCAAAGUUUUCCGGCAUGGCUUCUACUGGCCCACGGCCUUGGUCGACGCAGAGCGGCUGGUGAGGACGUGCGAAGCGUGCCAGUUCCACUCAAAGAAGAGCAACCAACCAGCCCAGGCCCUGCAUGUCAUCCCGUCCUCAUGGCCGUUCGCGGUCUGGGGACUGGACAUCGUCGGCAAGCUACCAAGGGCGGUUGGCGGUUACGAAUACUUGUUUGUUGCAGUCGACAAGUUCUCCAAAUGGGUGGAGGUGGAACUAGUGCGCAAGGUGACCGCCCAGGCGGCCAUCAAGUUCUUUAAGGGCAUUGUGUGCCGGUUUGGUGUUCCUAACAGCACACCGACAACUGCACGCAAUUCACGAGCGCGGCGUUUCACGCCUACUGCGAAGACAUGGGCACUAAGCUGCGCUUCGCGUCCGUCGCUCACCCGAGGAGCGACGGGCAGGCGGAGCGAGCCAACGCAGAGGUUCUGCGGGGGCUCAAGACGAGAACCUUCGACAAGCUCAAAGGCCACGGGAAGCACUGGAUCGAAGAACUCCAGCCCAUGCUGUGGUCCAUCCGGACCACACCUAGUCGGGCAACGGGCGAAACUCCUUUCGCCCUUGUCUACGGGGCAGAAGCGGUGCUGCCUCUCGAGCUCAAGUACGGAUCUCCCCGAGUACGCGCGUACGGCGACACCAGCCAACACGAGCAAAGGGUCGACGAUCUAAACUUCAUAGAAGAGUUUCGGUGCCGGGCUGCUGUGCGAGCCGCGCGCUACCAGCAGGGACUCCGUCGUUAUCACGACAGACGAGUCCGUCCCCGGGGGCUCGAGAACGGAGACCUUGUUCUGUGCCGGAUACAAGGAACGAAGGCCGGGAACAAGUUGACUCCGAAAUGGGAGGGCCCCUUCCGGGUAGUGCAGGUGACCAGGCCGGGGGCUGUCCGCCUGGAAACCGAAAACGGCUUGCCGGUGCCCAAUAGUUGGAAUGUUGAACACUUGCGCAAGUUCUACCCGUGAAGCGGUGGAGCCCAACCCUCAGGUGAUGCCUCCGAUGCAUACCUCUCGAACUAGUGUAACCGAGCAGCCCCCGUGUGUAAACCGCUAGUUAAUUGUGAAUAAAGAUAAGUAUUUCACCCCUGAGCUUUGUUUUUGUCUUGUUCAUUCGCGUGUUUUCCCUCUUGCCUCCUGCUUUAAGUGCACAAAGGUGUCUUUCCCUACUUGGUUGUGAGCAAGGGGCUGCCGUGGCCCGAACGAAAACCCGUUGCCGGAUCGUUCCGGCACGGGACAUGCCGUUGGCGGGCUUCCCGCAACAUGCAUCACUACGCAUGCAGCUGCUCGGCCUCCCGCAGCCUGCACCGCGUAGUCGCUCCGCGUGGGAAAGGAAAUGCUCACAUCCAAGUUUGGCAUUGACCCCUUUGUGCCGGGGGCUAGGAAGCAGGAGAGAUUUAUCUGUUUUACCUGUGUUACUUGUUUUCGUAAGUUUCGAAAAUUUUUGCAGCACCUCGAAUAUGGUAAGAGUCUAACCUGCAGGAAAGGGAGGAAUCUUGUACACUGUGGUGCCCGUGAGCUGCCCACGGGUCGCACCAUGCACCGGUGCCUUGUGGUGAGGGAGGUCCGCAACACAAGGGAUUCCCCGCACUCCGAGGCUUCUGAGUUGACAGCUUGCCGCCGCGUGUGCCGCGGUUACUCGGUAAGCAUGGCGGCGGAAACUGCGCCGCGUUCGAAGAAAAGGCGCCGCGGUGCCGCGCGGAUCCGUCGCACGCGGUGGCAAGCCUCCCUCCCGCAUCUAUAAAAGGCGCGCCCCAACCACGGAAUGGCUCAGAGCGAAGCCGGUUCGGGGCCGUGAAGGCAGGUGGUGCAACAGAGGCGCGGGGGUGGUGCUUCCCACCGGCGCCUAGCGCCGGCGGGUGUGCUGCCAUCGUGCCCCUGCUGCGUCACUCCAUCGAGCCCACCCCGAGGGGCGCCACAGAGGCAUGAUGGUAGUGAAUGCCAUAGGCAUCCCACGCGACGGGUGCACUGCUGUUGUGCCCCUGCUGCAUUUCCCCAAAGGGGCGGUUCCGGGGCGAGGGUCGCCGCAGAGGCACUGUGGUGGUGCAUCCCAUCAGCGUCCGGCGCCGACGGGGUGCAUUGCCACAGUGCCCUUGUCGCCCCCCUCCGAAGGGCACCUCCGCAAGGAGCAGGGGCUGCCCCCGCGUUCCCGCCGCAUCCCUCCGAGAUCGUUUCCCUUGAACAGGUACCCCAGAUGGUUUCCUACCGAGGCAAUGCCCCGUCUGCACUGUACCACAGAACAUCGCGGAACAUUGGACCAAACGGAAAAGCUAAGUAUCUGAACAUGAACGCUGAAUUCGCUAAGAGCUGAACGAAACUGAGCACUGCCCCGCUGGGUGCGACCCCGGAUCCCGCGCGUAGCCGGAGUGUUAGAAGGGACGCUUGCGGGGGGAGUGCGCUCCCCGUGUGGCUCCCGGGUCCGCCCCGGGAGGACACGGCUUGGAGUGGUUACCCCGCAAGCGGAGUGACUCCCCGCUACCGCUUGGCCCCAGGUCGGCACUGCGGGUCCGUCCCGGGUCCCUGGUCUGGUCAAGGGUGAGGCGUGCGCGAGUCCCUCCGCAACACAAGGCAAGACACGCAAAGGCUAAGGGAACCACCCCGCGAGGCGGCCUCGGGAAUAAAAGACAAAAACCGAGCAAACUAACAAGCUUGAUUGACUAGGUGUCGAGUGGUUACAUGGACUAAUCAAAAGGUCAUUGUCCAAACGGCGCUAAGCGCCAUACUUGCAGGAAAAGCAAACAAGGAGGUACAGGGGAAGCAACGAGUAUAGCUAGCUGUCGCCGUCUUCGGCCGGGGGGUCGACCGGGGGUUCAGGCUCCGGCUUCAUCUGCAUCCGCUCGACGACCUCGUCCAUGAACUCGCGCACUGCUUGGGUGUGCGUGGGCUCGUCCUCGCUGUCGGACCAAGCAUCCAGCAGGGACUUGAAGGGAAAUUCCGGGUCCCGGAGAUGAAUCCGCGGGAGGAUUGUCCCGGCAACCUCCCGGGCGCAGUUGGCGACUUCGUUGGCGCCAUACUUGGCGAUCCAGACAUCGAGCGCCCCAAGCUUCCCCAACAAGUCGGAGAAGAAGGGAAUCAGCGUCGUGACGUCCGUGCCAUCCACCUCCGCCGCCUGCAGCUCGAACUUAGGCAGCAGGUCGCGCAGCGACUCGGCGAUCUUCGCCAGCUUCUCCGUCUCAACCUGCCGCUGCCCGAUCAGCGUGCCAUGAUGGAGUCGGGCAUCUUGCGCGGCCUUCUUGGCCUUGCUGACACGGCCCUCCAGCUUCGCAAGCUCUAAGGCUUGGGUCGCGUUGGUCUCGCCGGCCUUGGCGAGCUCUUCCCGGACGGCGGCCAACUCGUCCUCAAGCCCGGCCGCUUUGCCUUUGACCGAGUUGAGCUCGGCCUCGUGCUGAGUCGCCGCUCUCGCCGCAUCCUCGGCGGCCUUGACCUGCACCUUCAACAGGAUGCGGAGGCCUUCGAUUUCACCGUGGUAGUUGGCGAUUAGCUCGCUCUUCUCGUCCAGCCGCACCUAGGCCGUCGCGAGCACCUCGGCAUGCUCCUUCCGGGAAGCUUCUAGGGUUGCCGCCAUUGCGUCGAUCCUUCCUUGGAGCUCCGUGCGCUGGACCUCCAGUUGCCGACGGAGCUCGGUUUCCAGGACUACCGGCUCCCGAGCCGCCUCCAGGGCUUGCCUGGCCAGCCGCGCCUCCUCUUCGGCGAGGUGCGCCUCCUCACGCAGCCGGGAGAGUUCGCGCCGCUCUCUCUUGACAGCCUCCCGCACCUUGCCGAGUUGAUUCUUGGCAGCAGUAUGGCGCUCCCUCACCUUGUUAUAGGAGGUGACGAAGGCGAACUGCUGGUCCCGGACGGCGUCCAGGAACCGGUGCCCCCGCUCGAAGACGCUCGGAUCUCAGGUAAGAGGAUUCCAAGCGACCCCGGCGAGGCUGCCGAGGUCGGUGCCGGGGAGAGCCCCCGAGGAUGACGAAGCCCCAGCAGCCGAAGUAGAGCUGGGCGCGGGGUCGCCAACUUGCUCCCGGGGGUCUUGCCGUCCUUCCCGACAACUUCCCCCGCGCCCUGGCUCCAGGACACCCGGGUUGGAGAGGGUUCCCUGCUUCCGGCGGGGGUCGUCCCCUGCUGGACAGCGGGUGAGCCCGAGCCGGCCACGUCCGCUACUUCGGGCGCGUCGCCAGGUGCCGCGGCGGCGGCGGCGGUCCCCGCUGCUGCCGCUGUGUCCGUCGCGGCGGGGGCGGACACGGGAGCCGUUUCCGACUCCACCUCCGCCCCCGCGGUCCCGACGACCGAGCCGGGGUCGACCACGGUCGCGCCUGUUCCGGGCGCGGGCGCGCUAGUGCCUGCAACCGUGGAAAAGCAUGAGGGUCAGCGAUGGUUGGUGCUUUCGGAGGCGAAUAAGGGCGACCGGGGCGGUUACCUUGUGCGGCCGUCGAGCUUGCCGGUGCAGCCGCCCCUACCUCGCCUGCGCCAGCGGGAGCGUCCAAGGGUCUUGCCGCGGGCGAGUUGCCACUCGCUGCAGAAAGAGAAGGUAUGGUUGUGAAUUUGGCUAGCAGGAAUUGCAGUUGCAGAGAAUCAACGAAGACAUACCUGGUGCCGGCUCUGUCUCCGCUUGGGCUGGGUCGCCAAGGGGCGCGCCCGCGCUGACGCUGGCCCUCGAGGCAGCAGGGUCGGUGGCGCCGCCAGCGUCCGCGCGCAUCCUCUUGCUUGGCGAGCCGGGCGGGGAAUCACUCCUCGCCCUCUUUCUAGCGCCCGCCGGCGAGGAGGACUUCAGAGGAUUGCGCCGGAGCGCGAAGCCCCGGAAGACCCCCCGAGCGGGCGGCGCCGUGGGCACCCGCGGAGUCGUCGUGACCCGGAGAGCUCCAGGUGUUGAUGGCGAUGCCGCUGCGACGCCGGGCACCAAGCUCUCGGAGGCCCCCGCUACCGGAGCGAAGGCCGUCGCCGGGGCACCGGAGAACCCCGCAGGUGCUGGAGUUGCCGGGGUACCGGCGGGCACCCUGGGACCAGUUCCCGUCGUGGAGCUGGCGGCCACCGCCGAGGCACUCGCGGCCCCUAUUGCCGCCGAUGCCGUCGCGGUACCAACGGGCGCCCCAGGAGCGGCGGCGGCCGCCAGGUUAGGGGCCGCUACCGGGGCGGACGUCGCUGUUGAGGAAGUGGCUGCGGCCGCCGCGAACGCCCUCGACCUUCUCAGGAUUAGGGGCGCGCUGUCGCUGCUUUCCUCGUCGUCGUCCUCCACGGCAACGACUUUCGGGGACGCAGCCACCUGGCCCGCCUCGUCGUCCAGCGACCGGAGGAAGGGCCAGCUGGGCUCGGACCCGCCCUCGCUCUCCUCGAGCACCUGCUUCCCGCGGGGUGCUUGUGGGAGAGCGUGCGGGACGCGGGUGGGGGUGUCGUCCAUCAGCCCCCACUCGUUGCAGGGCGGGAAGGCGCCGACGAUGUCACUGAGCGCCUUGACGCUGGCAUGGAGAGCGGAGACCCCCGGCGGGAACUCUGUCCCCUUCACCCACGUCUUGAGGGACUCCAAGUCCAUGCCGUCCGCCUGGAGGCAUGUCCUGUCCCCGGAGCCCGUGUACAUCCCCGCGGGCCGGGAACGUAGCUGCAGCGGGGCUAUGCGCCGAUGCACGAAGGUGCGCACCACGUCGACAUCUGUGAGCCCCGCUAGCCGCAACGCCUUGAUCUUCUCCACGAUGGGGACGAGGUCGGCGUCGUGGUGGUACCUGUCCUGCCAUCCGAUCUGGGGCACCGGCAGCCCUGUCGGCGGUUGGAUGAACUCCUGGGGGUCCUCCACUCGGACCCAGCACCAGUCGCCCCGCCACUCUUUUUCGAUCUUCUUCCCCGACCGAACAAUGAACUCUGACUUCAUCUGGUCGCGGGCGUGGAAAACCACCCCCGACGACAUCGCCUUCGCGUUAUCGAUGCGCGGGUAAAAGUAAUGGCGAAAGAGCCCCACCGACGGCAUCACCCCCACGAACGCCUCGCAGAGGAAUUGGAAGGUGGCGAGGAGGAAGAGCGAGGUGGGGUGGAGCUGCGCCACCCGCAACUGAUAGGACUCCAUCAGCGCGUGGAGAAACAGAGAGAAGGGCGGCACCAUGCCGCAGAGGAGGAAGCGCGCGAACACCCGUAAGUCGUUAUCCUGGUGUUCGACGCCCGCCGGGAGGAUCCGCGUCUCCCCGUGCUCGUUGAAGUUGGAGGCGACGGCGUGCCGGAGCUUCCCCAGCGCCUCGCCGUUGUAGCCGGGGCGGAAGAAGGCUACUUUUGCACGCAUCUCCCGCCUCUUCUGGUCCUUGGCGGCGGCCGCUUUGAGUGCCACCUCGGUCUUGCUGGUCGCGGGCUUCUUUGAAGACUGGACCACCUUCCCUUUCCUGGUGGUGGGGGGCCCCAUGGGGAGCGAGGGCGGAAGCUGGCAAGAGCGCGGGGAUGCGAGAUGCGGAACAGGAUGGAGGCAAAAGGGCAAAGUGUUGCUCCCCGUUGCCAACAGUGGAAGCUUUAUGACGCCCGGUCGUUUGGUAACGGCCGGUUCCGUACCCUACGGGUGCGCGGGGAUAACUCCUAAUCACUGGGAGUAAUGCGCGGAGUGGCCUUAACUACCCUAUUUAGGGGGGGGAGUUAGGAUGGAAAUCUCGCGCCCACUACUCCGCUUUUGGCGGUGCCGUACAUGGGGCAGCGAAGGGACGCGGGCCCGCAACUGAUCGGGGGCCCACGCAUCGGUUAUGGGCGUAGCCCGGCAACCGACUAGGAAGAGACCCUUCCGGGAACAAGUGAUGCCGGCCCAUGCCCGGGGGCUACUGUCGCACCAGUGGCACCCAGGGUACCACCGCUGCGCGACGCGUGGGCCCCUCCCCCGGGUUCCCGGGAAGGUCUCAUCCCGGGGAGCGCCGACGAGCUCCCCGGCAAGCUACCAGCCCGAAAGGGGCUAGCAGGGCUUCUGGGAAUAUUCCCGCUUAGGCACCUCCCGGGAAGCUGCUUCCCUGGAGGAGGUUCCCAGGUGCGCUGGUCCCGGGUGCUUCCCGGGCCGACUUGCGGGGACGGUGGGUUCCCGGACGCGUGCCCCCGCCUCGGGUCGUGGGGCCCACUGGACAGCGCCACACGGGCGCGUGACGGGCGCGGAACGCGCGGUCCCACCAAGGCAAGGGGUAAGGCACGCGGCUCAGUAAACGAGCCAACCGACGGGUAGUUACCCGUCCGAUCCAAGGAACAGUGGUUGUCCAAUCCUACCCUAGGGCCCUAGGCCCCUAGCAGCGGAGGUGGCACGCAUGCAUGCCACCAGCUCACCAGGGAGAGUUGCGUGACUCCCCAUUGGACACUUGUAGCCCAUGCACCGUGGCACGUGUGGCAUCCCCUUGUGUAUAAAAGGAGGACCCAUGCCAACGGUCAAGGAGGUUAGAUUGUUGACGGGUCAGACAGCUGGAGAGGUUAGUCGAUUGGUCAGUUAGUUGGUUCGGACGAAGCUCGCUCGAUAGAUGCUUACUGGCUCCAGUAGGCAGCCGGCGGAGAGUAGUGAGGAGUGCCUAGCCACUGAGAGAAAGCCCGGGAGCUUGCCCGGCAACCUGUAAUCAUUUGAUCCGUAAUCAAUAUCAGCUCAGACAGGCAGGACGUAGGGUUUUACACCUCCGGGUGGCCCGAACCUGGGUAAAAAACGUGCGUGCGUCUGUUCUUGGACCAGCGCGUACCCCUAGCACUUUGCCUCGCCGGCCCCGUAGGGCCUCAUCGGCUGUGCCGGCGAUCAUCUGGUCUUCACCCCAGACGCCCCUACCGAACCUAAAAGGGGGACGUGGCUGCACGCCCCCGGUGUCGGAGCACCGAGCGACGACAGAAUACAAAAGUUUCUCACUUCACGACAUUGAUUACAAAGUAUCAAAAUUUCAUAGAAGCAUAAUUACAAAGUGUCAAAAUUUCAUAAAAGCAUAUAAAGAAUAUAAAUGUAUCUCAUUUCAAGCUAGGUCAUAAUGUUGUGGGUGAAUCCUAGACACCACUUGUUCCACGCGUUCGUACAAGUCCCCACUAGGCUUGAUGACCUGAUUGUUGAUGAGAUGGGCGAACUCCCUUUGAAUGUUAUACACGACCCAUUUAGUUCGGUGUCCCAUUGUCAUUCGGGGCCGCCAGUACUCUUCCAUCGCCGCGACUGACCCCUUCCACUCAGGGUUGAACAUGCUGGCAUUCUCCAUAAGGAUGUGAUAGCAGUAGUAGCCACAGAACACACUGCCGGGCGGCUGUUGCUGGCAAGUGAACCUGUGGUUGUGGUGAGGCUCGUCUUUACAGCCUUUACCAGCUAGUUUUCCCCUGGUCGCCACUUUCUAGGCAGUGUUAAUGAGUGAUUUGAUGGGUUUCCAGAACCUACCUCGAACACCCUUCUUCGGAAGUAGUGAAUCGAAGUAGUACAGCACGGACCAAAGCAAACAAAUGAGUAGUGUGAUCCAAUGGUCUCUGUUUUUAAAAGAGACAAACUUUAGUAUCUAAGGGUGUAUAAGGAAGACUGAAUUAGAAAAAAACAGACGGUUCCAUAUAUAAAAUUGAACUUACUCCAAAUUAAGGAAGAAGACGAUAAAGUCGUUGUCCGCGUAUUUCUCGAGACAUGACACCAAGUAUUUAGAUACAAGGGUUCUUGAGGCAUCUUUUUCUGGUUCAAGACUGAUGUCACCGUAGUUGAACAUCGCGGGGUUUAGAAUGGCUACUUUUUUGACCUCCAUUCGCCGCAGUUCUCUUAUUUGGUAGGCAAACCACAGCCUUAAGAGGUUGAUAUCAAGCUUUUGGUGGUUGAAGAGGUGGAACAGUUUGUUGAACUCCACACCAAAUGUGAUAGGACGUUCCUGAAUGUUCCCGGUUUCUUGGUCAAAGAAACCAUAGUCUUUUGGGAUUCGAACAUUGAUCUGUUUGGCAUGCUGUUGAGAACCAGAUGAUGCUUGCAUGUAGAACUGAUGAAGCUCUUGCAUCUCUCUGGACACGGCACGCAGGGAAUCUUCGGUGACCAUCGGUCUUCCAGGAUAUUAAUAAGCACCCGGUCAAACUCCCUAGCCACGAAAUAGGAUCCGUCUUCAAAUCUCUGGCCUUGACGAGGGUUCUUCAUGAGAAUGUCAGGCCUAUUGUCCUCUCAGACUCCAAUUAUGCCAGGCACAUAGUGCAUCUCAUCUUGAGUGACAUUGGAGGACUCCUUGAUGGUCUUGCCGCCGCGCCCCCUCUUUUUAUGCCUCCUCUUAUUGUCCCAUGCCUUCUGCUCCUCUGCCUUGUACUUGUCAUCGAUUUUGCGGCCACCCAUGGACUUAGUGGCACCCACGAGAGAGAAGGUUGGAGGGACGCUUCCAGCCUGUGCCGACCCUGUGGUCUGGCUAUCUUUGAACUGUGCAGGCAUCGACAUUGCCCGCUCUUCAUCUCCGCCGGCAUCGACAGGAGGAAGUAUCCUAGGGGAAAGGCUGAGCGGCGAAUGAGAAGUACCUUUGUGGGCGGAGGGAGAUGGAGUCAUAGAGGACCGGCGCUGGUUGUGGAGAGAUACCAAGCUUCUAGGCCAAAUAAUGCGGUAGUUUGAACAACCGCCUAAGAUAUCCACGCCUUCCUUCGGAGGUAGCGGGAUAGCAUAAUCCCGAUGCUCCUCGACAACGGAGUCCACCAUCACACUCGCUUGUGCAUCAUUCAUAAGAAUGCCGUGCACUAGUGGCGGUGAUUGUCUGGGCAUCAGGCAGCCAAUGGCGCCUACAGGCUUUCCAGGCUUGUCAACGUGGAUACGACACUUCACCGGUGCCUGUGCGUAACAAAAAGAAGGCAUAUGUGUGUAAGAUCUUUAUUCAUGAAGGUAAGUAGUGAAAAAAAGUUUGAAAAGUAUGCUUACAAGGAUGUUGUCGCUCGGACCCGGAUCGUUAUCCCGGAUGCCCUCGCUUGGGUCCGGUUGGCUAGCGGGGGGGUUGUCCAUGCUAGGAGUCGGGCUGUAACCUGGGGUGUAGCUGUCUUCGUCAUCCAUACGUGUGUCGGAGGCGGCGCUGCUCUUCAGCGGGGUAGUAAGAAGAGGAGGAAGAGGAGGAAGGAGGUUCCUCAAACCUUCCACUCCUCCCUCGAGUAUGGCGUCAAGGGCGGGGUGGUCUUUGGCCAAUGCCGACACCAAAUGAUGGACGGCUUGCACUGCAUAUUCCCGCGACACCUCUUGAGACACGAUAGAUGCCUGCUCUCGCGCCUCCGCCUUUGCUUGUUCUAUUAUUUCAGCAGAAGCAGGGAGCUUUUUCUGAACCCUGCUUCGUUUCGGAGCAGGCGGGAAAUAAUCAUCCCAGCAGGCCCUUCGCCUUCCCCUAGAACACGGCCCGUGUGCUCCGCCUUUUGCAAGCUGGUGGUCACAGCCGACUCCCACCUCUUGCUCUCCUCCCAUUUGUGGGCAUUUUCCUGUUAUCAUAUAAGACAGGUGAGUCUAUAUGGAUCAGGAGUGUCAUAAUUAACGCCGAAAACAAAUAAAUGCACGUGAACCCUUACCGUAAAUUUUUUAACAGGCGACUGCAUUGGCUCAAUGCCCGUCCACUCCUCGGGUGUCAUGUGCUAACAUGCAUAUUCUCUAGCACAUUGGUCCGCCAGCAUGUCAUGCACUGGAGGCACCCUGCCUGCCGCCUCGAGAAUUCGGCCCUGCUUGCGCCAGACCUUCUUCUUCCCCUCUUUCCCUGUACUCCCUAGGCUGUGGUUCAAGUGCUUCCUCAAGCGCAACGCCCUCAUACGUUCACUCUUCGCAAUGCAGGCAGGGUCAGAAGAUUCCUUCUUGAAUUUUUCCCAUUCGGCCUCAUCAGUUACCGAUGGCCAUUUCUUCUUGAUGAUCUCGUAGGUUUGUCCAUCUACUUUCUAGCGGUGGUUUUCCAAUUACCAAGUCCAUUGCGUACUGCUAUGUUGACGGCCGCUAGGAAUCGCUCACGCCACUCGUUAGUGACUUGGAACCUCCUUGCAACGUCCGCGAUGCACGUGUUUCUAAUGACUUCGCAGAUGUCACUCCACUCGUCGGUGAUCUUGCCAUACUUACGUGCAACGGCUCCACAGGUCGUUGCGAAGGCCUUCUGUACCCUCUCAGGCGACUCCGGGCGGCCUCUUUCAGAGUGCCGGGUGACCACGUAACAGAACUCCUUCAAGUUGUGGCUCCCCCUCAGCGUCUUCUUCCUUGGCUUCUUAGCGGGAGUUUCAGAAGGCUGCGGGUUACUCUCUUCCUCCCGUCGCUCAUUGUCACGCUCUUCUGAAUGAGAGCUACCUGAGCCAGAGCUGGCAAUCUUCUCUCCCGAUGAAGACUCUUCAUCAACACGAUCUACCUCCUCCCGAUCAAGAACUGGUUUCUGGCUACUCUUGCCCAUUUCGUACCUAUGCCAUCAAAACCAUCAAAUAUAUAUCGGCCAAAAAUUUCGGCAUGACCUAUGCUAAAAAACUAGCAAAUUUUCUCUACUAGGAGCUCGAAACCUGCAUAAAAACCCCACCCGCAUAUGUACCCCCUCGGCACGAUGGCCGGCCCCUUCUCCAAUGAUCCGACACGAUGGUCGGGCCCACAAUUCACAUAAAUGAAGCACUUGGUGUAUAUAGCUAAAAUCAUAAGUAAACAGCAUGUAUAUAGAUAAAAUCAUGCUCUUUCUGAAAUUAUGUAGAGCUAAAUUUAUGAACUCCAACACGCAAACAUGUAUAUUGCAGCAUCUAAAUUAUGUAGAGCUACAUAUAUAGCUAAAAUCUUAAACAUGUAUAAAUCAUGCUCUUUAAUUCAAAUCAGCAAGGAGCACAGGAGCACAUCAUACAAGGAUUAGGAACACAGGAGCACAUCAUACAACAUUUGUAAUUUCAAUGAACCCUAACACUUGUAAACAGGGGCAGAAGCAGCAAUUCCUAACCCUAACAGUGAACCCUAACACUAACCCUAACCCUAACAGUGAACCCUAACCCUAAAAUUCAACCCUAACCCUAACAGCGAACCCUAACCCUAAUAGUGAGAGGGAGGCAGAGGGAGCGCGCACCUUGUGGGUCGAGGAAGACGGCUCGAUGGUGCGGGGUCGACGGCGGGGAAGAGGAAGACGGCUCGGGGGUGCGGGCUCGGGGACGGCCGAGGAAGACGGCUCGGGGCGGAGGAGGAAGACGGCGAGGAGGUCGCAGGCGAGGACAGCCAGGGAGGUCGCGAGCGAGGACAACGAGGCCGUCGGCGGCGGGCUCCGGUCGAGGACGGGGAGGCGCGGGCUCGGGGCGGAGGAGGAAGGAGGCGAGGACGAGGCCGGCGGCGGCGGGCUCAGGGCAGCGCGCGGGGUCGACGGCGGCGGUUGUGCCAAAAUUGGGCAGAGCUUCGCCCGGGGAGGAGGAGCGCCCACUGCUGGUCUGCUAGAGGAAAGCGACGCGCAGGCGAGAAGUAACGGGCUAGGGUUUUGGCGCUUCCUUUUAUAUGCCCAAGCACAUCAGUGGCGGUCUCCUUCCCACGUGACCGUUACUGAUGUAUAGAUGCACAUCAGUAACGGGCGAGCCGUGAUGCGACCGUUACUGAUGAUCUAUACAGCAGUAACGUUCCGGUAAGAACGCGACCCUUACUGAUGUAUAGAUGCACAUCAGUAACGGACAAUUAACCAGCCAACCGUUACUGAUGUGCAUCUGUACUUGUUGAGCUUUGUACCAAUUUCAAUUACAGGAACGUUUAAAUUUUUUACAAAAGUACAUGGAUCACACAUAAUUUCACUUAGUACAAAGUUUACAUUAAGAUUCCGUACGAGUACAUUUUACAAUGUGACUACUAGUGCUUCUUCUUCCUUCGGUAAGUCAUAACUUGACUCCUCGCAGAACUGCUUCUGAGGUAGGGUUUUUGUGGUAUUUUCUCGCUCUCGCUCCCCUCACUUCUUCAUUUCCCUCUCCUUUUCCUCGUUAAUAUCGUGCGUUCCGCUUCUUCGUCAUCUGCGGCGGUUGUCGGAUCAUGGAAACCUUCGUAGUCUUUUUUUGAAGUAAGUCCGUCCACUCCAACAAUGCUUCUUUUCCCUCUUCUUACUACGACGCGGCCUUUAUUUGCCGGCUCGUCUAUGUAGAAUACCUGCUUGCAUUGUUUAGCAAAGACCCAUGGUUCCUCUCUUGCCGAGAUUUUUCUCACGUAACCUCGUUCACGAGGGAUCUCAAGAGGUAGCACCAUCGUCGUGAACCUGUGACUUUCUUCUUUGUCACCUUUGGUCCAUCUUACACGGAACAUUGGGAUCUUUGUGAUCGAGUACUCCAAUUCCCAGAUCUCCUCGAUAACACCGAACAACGCUUUGGUUUUGCUGUUGUCGUCGGUCGCGGUCUCAGAAGUCAUGACUACACCACUAUUUUGAUACGUGCUUUUACGGUCCUGAGACGCAGUGUAGAAGUUAUAACCGUUGAUCGCAUAUGAUUGCAAGGUAGAGACGUGGUAAGCAGGUUCCCGUGACAAACAUGCAACCGUUUCUUCUGAUACAUUGGUCGUCUCCCUGCCGUACCAAUAAUUCUUCAGCCACGCUGCGAAUGUUUUAUUGUGCUCCCAGUGGAUCCAGACUUCUCCUCUUUUAGGGUUUUCAUUUCGAAGUUGUUCCAUGUGCAUUUCCUGAUAAGGCCGGCAACAAUCGACAGUUUGCAACACAACCAAAUGUGCUCUUUCAAAGUCAGCUUCCCUUCCUCUUCCAUAGACAUUAAGGUAUGUAUCUCCAAGGCCACCUUCGCCAUCGAGCUUGCCCUUGUGCCGUGAUUCGGGAACACCUAUUGAUUUCUGGUCGGCCAACCAAUCUGUGCAGAACUCGAUGCACUCUUCUGCCCUAAAGCCUUCCAUGAUACUACCUUCCGGACACGAUCUGUUACGAACGUAGCGCUUCAGAACCCCGUUGUAUCGUUCAGGACCAUACAUGUUAUGCAGGAAUGAGGGCCCGAGGGACAAGAUCUCAUCGCAUAUGUGGAUGAUUAGAUGGACCAUGAUAUCGAAGAAUGAUGGAGGAAAGAACAUCUCGAGCUCGCACAGAAUCUGUAUCAUACUAUCCUUCAGUAUUUGGCAUCGUCUAACGGUGAUUGACUUCUACGAUAUGCUGUCAAAGAAGUCAGAAAGCUUCAUGAUUGUCUCCCUUACGUGCGGCUCCAUGAUACCUCUGAUUGCGACUGGAAGUAACUGAGUGAGUAUGACAUGGUUGUCGUAAGAAUUCAUGCCAGAUAGAUUGUGACUCUUCAUGUCAACUAAAUGCUUGAUGCUCAACGAGUAGUUCGAUGGGACUUUAAUGCCCUGCAGGCACUGGCACAUCCUAUGCAACUCGUCUUUGUACAGGUUGUAACAUGCAAGACGACACCGCGUGGUCACCGUCACGAAAUCAUUCUUGUCGGCUGCCGACGCUUGAUCUCUGCCCCACAACUCUUUUCUGAUAGACAUGAGUUCCAGGUCCUUUCGUGCAUUGGGUCCAUAUUUCGUCUUCUCUGGAAUGUUCAUCAGCAACCCCAGCACGUUGUCGCAUACAUUUUUCUCCACGUGCAUGACAUCUAUGCUGUGGCGGCAUUCUAAAUGUGCCCAGUACUCUAGAUCCCAGAAUACGGACCUUCUUUUCCACAUGACGCCUUCAGGUUCCUUAUAUUUCUUUGCAGCAAUCUUUCCGGGGACAACUUCAAGAUCGUUCACAAUUUCGAGGAUUUGCAUACCAGACUUCUCCUUCGGCGUUGUCCCAUGCUCCGUCUUCCCAUUGAACCUUUCCUUGUCAUCCCUCCAAGGGUCUUUAGCAUCCAACCACUUUCGGUGGCCCAUGUAAACAAUUUUGGAUGAAGCGGGCAACUUCUCCGAUGUCGUGUUUUUCCCUCACUUUGUAUAGGCCUUGUAGCCACGUGUCACCUGGCAUGAAGUAUUUCCAUUCGCGGGGUAGUCAUGCAAUCAGGUCAGAAGCGCUGCUCUCAUCGUGAAGUACUCCCUCCUGUUGGCGUCCCAAACCACUCUGCCAGGGUUCCAAAGCUGCUUCAACUCAUCCUUCACUAGUUGCAGAUACACAUUUAGGUCAGCUCCCGGCUGCUUUGGACCCUGUAUGAGCAUGGACAUGUGGAUGUACUUUCUUUUCAUGAUUAACCAUGGAGGAAGGUUGUAGACAAACAAGAUCACUGGCCAUGUGCUGUGCUUGUUGUUCAUGUUUCCGAAAUGAUUUAUCCCGUCAGUGCUGAGAUCGAGCCUCAGGUUUCUGGGCUCUGCCUCGAAAUCAGGAAAUGCCGUGUCGAAGUUCCUCCACUGAGUCCCAUCGGCAGGGUGUCUUAGGACCCCAGCUUCCUCCACACGGUAGUGCCCGUCAAGAUCGAAUGCAGCCUGCGCCGGAUCAUGAUGGACGAGAUACCUCGCGUCCUUAACGUUCUGCAUCCAACGUUCAACUCGGCCACCUGCCGUAAGAUACCAGAGAGUCUUUGCCGGCUUGCCCUUCAUCACUUCUUCCCCAUCGUCUUCGCCAGCUCUGGCGUUUUUCUUCUUGUAUCUCGAUGCACCGCAUAUGUGUCAGCUCUCAUGGUUCUCGUACUCUCCAAUGUAUUCCAUGCAGUCGUUUGGACAUGAAUGAUGUUUCACGCAAUCUAAUCCAAGCGGGCAUGUAAUCUUCUUCGCCUCGUAUGUGCUCUUGGGCAACUUGUUUGGCUGUGGAAAAACCGAAGCAAGGUAACUCAACAAGUCCGUGAAGCUCUUGUCUGACCAGCAUGAUGCUGCCUUCAGCCUCAAAAGUUCGAGCGUCACUUCGAGCACGUUGUUUUCUUCGCCAGCUCCAUCAUACAAGGGUGUGUUUGCGUCCUCCAACAAUUUUUUGAACUGAGCAGACUCUGCCUCAUCUUCAGGGUCCUCCAGCUGCUCCCGUAUGUACGGGUCAUCUAGCAUUUCGGCAAUCCUGCCACAUGGAGCUCCUUCACCUUCCACAUUAGCCUCCUCAUCGACCCUUGUUUCUUCCUCGGAAUCAUUCGGCAGAUCAUACCGCAGGACAUCAUCAUCUUCGCUACCGCUACCGACAUCAACCGCAUCCUCCCCGUGACAAGUCCAGCGAGAAUAACCUUCCACAAAACCCGAUGCCAGCACGUGCAUCUGAACAUCUUCAGGCUUCAUCAUGCAUGUGUUUCCACAUUUGCGACAUGGACAACGCAUCAUCACAAGUCCUUUCCGUUCCAUAUCACCUUUCGCGACUCCAAAAAAGACCGUCCAUUCGGUUAUCCAUCGAGCAUUGAUUCUUUCCUUGGCGUACAUCCAAGAACGGUCCUUCGAUCUACAAUACAAUACACACGAAAACAAACAAAGCAAAAUAGUUAGCCUAAUCAUUGACAAGGGGAUUAAGGUGUUAAUUAACCGGAGCUAACUAAAAAUUUGAAAUUAGAGACAUUCGGAGAGAAAUUGGAGGCCGGCGAGAAAGAUCGGGAGGGAGAGAGAGCUCGCAAGGGAGAGGGAAGCUCCGGGCGAUGACGAGGAGGCCGCAUUUUGGCCAGCGGCCGGAGCUCAAAAAUUUGAAAUUGGGAAACUUCGGAGAGAAAUUGGAGGCCGGCAAGAAAGAUCGGGAGGGAGAGGGAAGCUUCGGUGUCGAGAAUCGGAGCUUGCCGGCCGCCGGAGCUCCAAAAAUGGAGAUUGGCGGCCAUGGCUGCCCGCCGGCCAUGGAAACGGCGGCCGCCGGCGAGGGGGGGGGGAGGAGGAAGGGAGAGAGAGGAGGGGCUACCUGGGGGGCUCGCUGGCGGCCAUGGCGCCGGCGGGCAGCGCUUCGCCGUCGCCGGAGAAGAAGGGGCCGCGGCUGGUCCGUUACGACGCGCAGCGCGACCAGCUGCGGCUCUGCUCUUCGUAUUUAAACCGCGACGAUCAUCAGUGGCGGUCGGAAAUUGGACGACCGUUACUGAUAAUAGUGGGUACAUCAGUAACGGUCGCGUUAGGUCGACCGUUACUGAUGCAUGGUUCAUCAGUGGCGGUCACCUCUUAACCGACCGCCACUGAUGUGUCUCGCGAGGUAUGAUGGUUUAUCAGUGGCGGUCGCCUCGCGCGACCGCCACUGAUGUAUGGUUGGGCAGGGACGGGCAGACCCCGCUCUGUUCAUCAGUAACGGUCGCGGCCGCGACCGACACUGAUGUUGUUCAUCAGUAACGGUCGCGCCGGACCUAUUACUAAGGUGCCGUUGCAUAUAAACUGUUUUGUAGUAGUGUAGCGGCCAUGCAAGACCUGCUCCUCCUUUGAUUGUCGCUGGCCUUACCGACGCUCAUCGGCGCCGCUUUGCUGGCCUUAACAAAUCGGUAUUUUGCGCACGUGACGGACGAAAGGACGACGGAAAUUUCACUCAUUUUAUUAUUAAUAUAAAGGAGAUGGACGGAAAUGCGUAACGACGUCCGCACGUAGAUAGAUAGAUAUAGGCGGCUUACAUCAUCUCUCCACGCGUUGGGUUGGUGCCGUUGCAGUCCCGGUCCAUGCAGAUACGUUUUUAGCAUGACACCUGGAUUAGAAUUUAGUAGGGCCGCCACUCUCCAUAGCGCUUUGCCACUUGGAUCGUCUAUAAAACGAAAGAAAGCAAGAAGUAGGAGAAAGCAGCUAGCAGCAGGUCAUUAGCGGCCAUGCAAGACCUGCUCCUCCUCCUCUGGCUCUCGCUGGCCUUAACGACGCUCAUCCCCGCCGCUUUGCUGAUCUGGCAGCAUGCCUGGCCGUGAGAUCGAGAUAGGCAAUCAGAGGGGGUGAAUGAUUGCGCGGAAGCAAAUUAAAACUUUUUUUGAAAAUUCAAACCCUAAAUCAUCUUUCUGUCCGUGAUAAUAAAACAGUCGUACCUUUUGAUUGGAUGAACCAAAAAAUACGUAUGAGUAUGCAAAAGAAAGGUAUUGAAAUUAUCUAACCAACGCAACAAGAAUCAGCUCAAUUGGACGUACCAAUCAAAAGAUAUGAUCAAAAUAGUAACAGCUGACAAAAAAUUACGAGGAUUAAUCUAAAAUCAAUUUCGAAGAAUAACAAGAAAGAUGAAUUAAUCGCAAUUUUCAUUUGAUCUCGUGAUAAACCUGCAGCAAAGUAUUAUGAACUCGUGAUGAACCUGCACCAAAGUGUUAGAAAGAUCUAGCACGAAGAAUCCACGAAGCUUUGAGAAGAAGAGAGAUGACACCACCAACGAAUCUUCUUAAUGUAACGAUGUUGAUCGAUUACAAAAGAUGCACAACCAUGUAUCGAAGAACUCUCCAACAAUUGAUCUAGAUUCAAAGCUCUGAGUUUCCUCACGUCCUUGUUAAAACCCUAGCUAGGAUGCCAUCUAUUUAUAAGGGAAAAUUCACGACCCUAAACCGAAUCCGAAUCCAACACGAACUUCUCUGUUCCGGUCGGUAUUUUGCCCGUGGGGCCCGCAUACGACCUCGGAUUGAGAUGAGUCCAAAAGCAAAGUUGUUCGUCUCGACGACGCGCACAACUUUCAUUGAGACCAAUUUUCCAUCCGACACCAUCUUGAGGACGCUACUGUUUAAUCUUUAAACAGAUUUCAUCCUGCCACGGCUGGACCUACAUAUCUUCACGUCGAUGACACUCCGUGCCAUCAACUAUUCUUGAGAUGUCUUCAAAACUCGACCAUGACGUAUCGAAUAUCUUCAAUACCAUACAUAUCCGGUAUAAACAAAUACGACAAACCGGUGGCCUCCCGGAUCAUCGUAACCUUCACUUCCAUUGUUCCUUCGCACGAACGUCCCGCAUGACCUUAAUCCUCGACCUCAGCUUCUCCCAAGCUUCGUCUCUCGAUCCCGUCAUCGACCACGUUUCUCUAGCUCCGGCAACACCUCAGGCCACGGCGGACGUCAUGGACGACCUCCUCGAGAGCUUCCUCGCGCUGCGCGUGCUCGCCAUGCUUCCCGCGGCGCUGACGCGUGUUGUGUACCGCAAGCGGUUGGCCAAGCUCGUCAACAUCCGGCGGCGGCAGGAGGAUCUGUACUUGCCGCUCGUCGACCUCUGGCGCCAGGCGAUAGCAGGAGGAGGAGCUCCGGCGUACGUGGACACGCUGAUCGAGCUCAUGGUCCCCGACGAGCAGGACGGAAAGCGGAGGCUCCUGACGGACGGCGAGGUCGUGGCGCUGGUGUCGGAGUUCCUUGGCGCCGGCACGGAGCCCGUGUCGGCGGAGCUGCAUUGGAUCAUGGCGAGGCUCGUGAAGCUGCCGGGCGUGCAGGCGGCCGUCCUGGGCGAGAUCGAGGCGGUGGUGGGCGCAGACGCCGAGCAGGUGGACGAGGAAGCCCUGGGAAGGCUGCACUACCUCAACGCUGUCAUCAUGGAGACGCUCCGGAUGCACCCAACCGUGCCGGUCAUGCAGAGACAGGUGACAGAGGACGACGACGUCGCUCUCGACGGGCAGCGCAUUCCGGCGGGGACAGCGGUGAAGUUCCCGGUGGAGAGGCUGGCGCGGAACAAGGCGGCGUGGGCUGACCCGGACGAGUUCCGGCCGGAAAGGUUCCUGGCGGGCGGCGAGGGCGAGGCCGUCAACCUGGCGGUGGCUGUGCCCGGGGGGCAGAUGAUCAGGAUGAUGCCGUUCGGGGUCGGCCGGAGGAUGUGCCCUGGCUGGAGCAUCGCGGUGCUCCACCUGGGCUACUUCGUCGCCAACCUUGUCAGGGAGUUCCAGUGGGCGGAGGCGGAGGGGGAGAUCGACCUCCAACCGCGCCUUCGUGGCCUCGUCACCGUCAUGAAGCGCCCGCUGCGUGUCCGCCUCAUGCCUCUGCGUCACAAUACUUGUUAUUAACUAGAUGGUUACGCGCGCUUCGCUGUGCCGUCAACAAUUGUCUGCAUGGUGUGAUUGUCUCGGUCUUCCUCAGUAGAAAAUAAUCCCUCUUUUCCAGCAAAAACUGCAGCUCCUGCUUACAUUGUAUCAUUGGUGUUGCUUUAAUUAGUGCCUUAUGCUGCUCACCUUUUUAAUCUAAAAUAGUGCAGUGUCUCUGACAAUGUACGUCCUAAUUAAGCUUGGUCCACACAAUAUGCAUAACUGCAAGUAAGGCAGCUAGGUAAUGCGGAAACUUUGUUAUUCUUUUUCUUAACAGAAUUAAGUCACAGUUUUCUUACCUCUGCUAUGAGCUGAUUGUCAAAAACUGAAAUGGAAGAGAAUUUAGUUACCACUUGCUUACCUAGAAAGAAUUUCUUUGAACCCACAUAAAUAUACACCUUUGAGAUCGAGCAUAUAUUAGAAAAUAAAUUUCAGUUUACACUUGAAAACUAUAGGGUGGGAUGUUAACCGAAUGAACAUACUGAGUACUUGCCUAAAGAGUCUGAUUUAAUUUGGAGAAAACAAUUACCGAGUAUGUGACUAUGGAGUACUUUGCAUUAUAUAGCCAUUUGAAAGAUAUAACUGAAAUGAACACCCAUCAUGGAAGAGUACACGGUGUGAAGUAAGGAUUAUUGGAAUUGAAAUGAGGCAGCUAAAUAAGCUUCCCCAGCACAAAAAAUUGCCUGAAAGAAUGUAUAGUUCAACGGAAUGAAAUAUGAGUGACCAAUAGAAGGCAUAGCUAGAGAUAGAAGUGAUCUUACAUUAGAACUUUGCACAAAAAUGGAAUUAAUUCAUUUUGGCAUCCUGCUGUUUCAGAACUAUCUUGAAGCCACAUGAUACUCCAUGAUACAUGGACCUGUCACUUCCCCAUAAAUAAUAUCUGCAAAGUGAGAUAGGAAGGUAAGGUGUGCACACAUCGACCUAAUAGGCAAGGAUGAAAUCCAAAAGUACGAUUUAAUAAUUAAUUAAUAUAUAAGGUUGUGGUACCACACUCGUAUGCUCGUAUUACUAUUACAAUCAAGUAAAGUACGUGCUCUCCUAAUUCCCAGAACAGGGUAGCCUCAGCUUUCCGCUGAUAGUUUUGACAUGCAUCUUCAAGGAAAAUGCCUAAGGUCCAAGUUUUCCUGAUAGAUUGAUACGGGAUUGUAAUCUUCGACCACAAAAAUAAAUGGUAGCUGUAAAAAUUCUUAUAUAUUGCCAGCCUCCAAAACCUCGUGAUAAAUAUCCACCAUCGGGCACAAAGUGUUGACCUUUUUACCCUAUCCACCGUCAUGAUGUUUCACUGUUUGUUCUAUUUUCUUUUGUAAGAACUUCGCUCCAAUUUAUUACUUGAGCUAACCUAAUCUGACUUCGCCAACUUCCAUACACAAGCUAUAUCCAUAAUAAAUGUCACAAAUUUAGUAUAACUUUGUACUAAUUUUGUAUUAAAUUAGCGACACUUAUUAUAGAUCGGAGGGAGUAAUAAACAAGCAACCCAAAUCCCUUCUAGAUCCCAUUUUCCCGUGUUUAACAUUCGGGGAGAUCAUAUUGUAUUUUAAGGUGGCCCGGUGACACUAUAUACUCAGUAUGGUUAUCCUCACUACUACAAAACGGUCUAUAUGUAACGGCACAUCAGUAACGGGUCCGGCGCGACCGUUACUGAUGAACAGAAUGGGGUCUGCCCGUCCCUGCCCAGCCAUACAUCAGUUGCGGUCGCGCGAAGCGACCGCCACUGAUGAACCAUCAUACCUCGCGAGAGACAUCAGUGGCGGUCGUCGGCAGUCGGUUAAGAGACGACCGCCACUGAUGAACCACGCAUCAGUAACGGGCGCCCUAACGCGACCGCUACUGAUGUACCCCCUAUUAUCAGUAACGGUCGCCCAAGUCCCGACCGCCACUGAUGAUCGUCUCGGUUUAAAUACGCUGGGCAGAGCCGCAACUGGUGAAAGAGUACUGGCGGCCCCGAAUGACAAUGGCACACCGACCUAAAUAGGUCGUGUAUAACAUUCAAAGGGAGUUCACCCAUCUCAUCAACAAUGAUGUCAUCAAGCUUAGUGGGGACUUCUACGAACACGUGGAACAAGUGGUGAGUAGGGUUCACCCACAACAAUAGCUUCAAACUUGAAAUGAGAUACAUUUGUAUUCUUUAUAUGCUUCUAUGAAAUUUUGACACUCUGUAAUCAGUGUCGUGAAGUGUGAUACAUUUGUAUUCUUGAUAUGCUUUAAAUGAUGUGGCUUUAUAUAAUUUGUAUGCUUUAAAUGAUGUGGUUGUGUAUUUUUCUGUGCUGUGCUGUGAUGUGCUGUGCUGUGUAUUCAAAUAUAUAUUUUUCUGUGUAUUUUUUGUGAUUUUAAUUAUUUUUUUAAUUACUGAAAAUGUAUCAAAGCGACCGUUACUGAUGUACAUAUCAUCAGUGACGGGCGCGGAAACAUGACCGUCACUGAUGAUGGUCUUCAUCAGCAACGGUCGGGUCGGGCCGCCUGCCACUGAUGAUGGUACAUCAGUAACGGUCGGAGCGACCGUUACUGAUGAUACCCAUCAUCAGUAACACGAAGUUAGUAACGGCGGCCCCGACCGUUACUGAUGUUGCUUUUUGACCGUUACUGAUAAACUUUUCUGUAGUAGUGCCUCAAUAGUCAAUA